UCCGGCGUGAGGUCGAGGUAGUAGUGGUUCGUGAUGGCCGCCCGGCGCGCAGUACCCUGAGGGACGGGAGGGACCGGCACGCCGCCGGCGCUUAGGCUCCAGCCGGUGGGGACGCGGUAGCCCGGUGGACAAGGGUAGUUCGAGGCGCAAAGCUCCUCCACCUGCUGGUAGGUUAGAGUGGGUGCGGUGGAAGCCAUGAGAGAGUGAUGAGAGAUUGUAGAGAUGUGAUAAUGCUGGCCAAGCCGGGCUACAUAUAUGUAGUGAGAAAUGGCGGGAAAAAUGGGAGCGGGAAGACAGGAGGCGGGAAGAAAGAGGCGGGAAGACAGGGAAGAAAUGGCGGGAAGAAGAGGAAUCCAGAGCUGGUCAUCUAACCUUUAGUCCCGGCUGGUUGGUGCAUUUUGAAUUGAAUUAGUUUUAUUUUUCUUAAUUUUUUGAUAUAUUAUUUGUAUUUUUAACAUUUUGAAUUGAAUUAGUUUUAUUUUUCUUAAUUUUUGAUAUAAUUUUUGUGUUUUUAACAUAUUGAAUUGAAUUAGUUUUAUUUUCUGAAUUUUUGAUAUAUUAUUUGUAUUUUUAAGAUAUUGAAAAAGAAAAGUAUUUUGAAAAAUACCUUUAGUCGCGGUUGGCCAGACCAACCGCGACUAAAGGUCGUUGCGCGCGGGAACGAAAAAACCCUUUAGUCGCGGUUGGUUUUGCCAACCGCGCCUAAAGUUUACCUNNNNNNNNNNNNNNNNNNNNNNNNNNNNNNNNNNNNNNNNNNNNNNNNNNNNNNNNNNNNNNNNNNNNNNNNNNNNNNNNNNNNNNNNNNNNNNNNNNNNAAUACAAGUUUCUCAUAAACCUUGUACACACCCAAAAUCUUUGAUCAUCUCAUCAAAGUGCUUAUUCCAACUCCGAGAUGCUUGCACCAGUCCAUUGAAGGAUCACUGGAGCUUGCAUACUUGCUAGUAUCUUUAGGAUCGACAAAACCUUCUGGUUGUAUCACAUACAAUGUUUGCUCAAGGAAACCGUCGAGGAAACAAUGUUUUGACAUCCUACGUGCAAUAUUUCAUAAAUAAUGCAGCAACUACUAACAUAAUUCUAACAGACCUUUAGCAUCGCUACGAGUGAGAAAGACUCAUCAUAGUCAACUGUUUGAUCUUGUCGAAAACAUCUUUGCGACAAGUCGAGCUUUUCUUAAUAGUGACUUAUCACCAUCAUCGUGUGUCUUCUUUUAAAGAUCCAUUUUACCCAAUAGUCCCAUGACCAUCAAGUAGUUCUACCAAAGUCUACACUUUGUUUUCACACAUGGAUCCUCUCUCGGAUUUUAUGGCUUCCAGCCAUUUGUCGGAAUCUGGGCCCACCAUCGCUUUCUCCAUAACUCGUAGGUUCACUGUUGCUCAACAACAUGACCUCCAAGACAGGGUUACCGUACUACUCUGCAGCAGUACGCGACCUUGUCGACCUACGAGGUUUGUAGUAACUUGAUUCGAAGCUUAAUGAUCACCAUCAUCAGCUUCCACUUCAAUUGGUGUAGGCGCCACAGGAACAACUUCCUACGCCCUGCUACACACUGGUUGAAGUGAUGGUUCAAUAACCUCAUCAAGUUCUACUACCCUCCCACUCAAUUCUUUCGAGAGAAACCUUUUCUCGAGAAAGGAUCCGUUUCUAGAAACAAACACUUUGCUUUCGGAUCUGAGAUAGGAGAUGUACCCAACUGUUUUGGAUAUCCUGUGAAGAUGCAUUUAUCCGCUUUGGGUUCGAGCUUAUCAGACUGAAACUUUUUCACAUAAGUUUCUAAGCCCCAAACUUUCAAGAAACGACAGUUUAGAUUUCUCUAAACCUCAGUCUAUACUGUGUCAUCUCAACGGAAAUACGCGGUGCCCCAUUUAAAGUGAAUGUGGUUGUCUCUAAUGCAUAACCCAUAAACGAUAGUGGUAAUUCGAUAAGAGACAUCCCAGCAUGCACCAUACUAAAUAGUGCGUGGCUAUGACGUUCAGACACAUCAUCACACCAUGAUGUUCCAGGUGGCAUGAACUGUGAAACAAUUUCCACAUUGUCUUAACUGUGUACCAAAAAUUCGUAACUCAGAUAUUCAUUUCUAUGAUCAUAUCGUAGACAGUUCAUCCUCUUGUUACGAUGAACUUCACUCUGAAACAGAAUUUGAACUUUUCAAUAUUUCAGACUUGUGAUUCAUUAAGUAAAUACUCCUGUAUCUACUCAAGUCGUCAGUGAAGUAAGAACAUAAUGAUAUCCACUGCGUGCCUCAACACUCACUGGACUGCAUACAUCAAAAUGUAUCACUUCCAACAAGUUACUAUCUUGUUUCAUCUCAAUGAAAACAAGGCCUUGCUCAUGUGGUAUGAUUUGCAUGUCACUAGUGAUUCGAAAUCAGGUGAGUAAAGAUCCAUCAGCAUGGAGCCUCUUCAUGCAAUUUAUACUAACAUGACUCAAGCGGCAGUGCCACAAGUAAGUGGUACUAUCAUCAUUUAACUCGUAUCUUUUGGCACCAAUGUGUAACACUACAAUCGAGAUUCAAUAAACCAUUGAAGGUGAUUAUUCAAGCAAAUAGAGUAACCAUUAUUCCUUUUGAAUGAAUAAUCGUAUUGCAAUAAACACGAUCCAAUCAUGUUCAUGCUUAACGCAAGCACCAAAUAACAAUUAUUUAGGUUCAACACCAAUCCCGAUGGUAAAGGGGGCGUGUGACGUUUGAUCAUAUCAACUUUGGAAACACUUCCAACACGUAUCGUCACCUCGCCUUUAGCUAGUCUCCGUUUAUGCCGUAGCUUUCAUUUCGCGUUACUAAUCACUUAGCAACCGAACCAGUAUCCAAUACCCUCGUGCUACUAGGAGUACUAGUAAAGUACACAUCAACAUUAUGUAUAUCAAAUAUACUUCUCUCGACUUUUGCCAGCCUUCUUAUCUACCAAGUAUCUAGAGUUGCUCCGCCUCAGUGACUGUUCCCCUUAUUACAGAAGCACCUAGUCUCGGGUUUGGGUUUAAUCUUGGGUCUCUUCAUUAGUGCAGCAACUGUUUUGCCGUUUCACGAAGUAUCCCUUCUAGCCCUUGCCUUUCUUGAAACUUAGUGGUUUUACUAACCAUCAACUAUUGAUGCUCCUUCUUGAUUUCUACUUUCGCAGUGUCAAACAUUGCGAAUCACUCAAAAGAUCAUAGUAUCUAUCCUUGAUAUGUUAUAGUUCAUCACGAAGCUCUCAUAGCUUGGUGGCAGUGACUUUGGAGAACCAUCACUAUCUCAUCUGGAAGAUUAACUCCCACUUGAUUCAAGCGAUUGUCGUACUCAUACAAUCUGAGCAAACGCUCAACGAUUGAGCUUUUCUCCUUUACUUUGUGGACAAAGAAUCUUGUUUGGAGGUCUCGUACCUCUUAACAAGGGCACAAGCAUGAAAUCACAAUUUCAUCUCUUCGGAACAUCACUUAUGUUCCAUGACGUUUUACAACGUUUUUGGCGCCUUGCUUCUAAGCCAUCAAGUAUCUUGCACUGAACUAUCGUGUAGUCAUCAGUAACGUGUAUGUCGGAUGUUCAUAGCAUCCACAGACGACGCUCGAGGUGCAGCACACCGAGUGGUGCAUUAAGGACAUAAGCCUUCUGCGUAACAACGACGACAAUCCUCGGUUUUACAAACUCAGUCUGCAAAGGUUGCUACUAUCAAUUUUCAACUAAAUUUUCUCUAGGAACAUAUAAAAACAGUAGAGCUAUAGCGCAAGCUACAUCGUAAUUCGCAAAGACCAUUAGACUAUGUUCAUGACAAUUAGUUCAAUUAAUCAUAUUACUUAAGAACUCCCACUCAAAAAGUACAUCUCUCUAGUCAUCUGAGUGGUACAUGAUCCAAAUCCGCUAUCUCAAGUCCGAUCAUCACGUGAGUCGAGAAUAGUUUCAGUGGUAAGCAUCCCUAUGCUAAUCAUAUCAACUAUACGAUUCAUGCUCGACCUUUCGGUCUCAUGUGUUCCGAGGCCAUGUCUGCACAUGCUAGGCUCGUCAAGCUUAACCCGAGUGUUCCGCGUGUGCAACUGUUUUGCACCCGUUGUAUGUGAACGUUGAGUCUAUCACACCCGAUCAUCACGUGGUGUCUCGAAACGAAGAACUGUCGCAACGGUGCACAGUCGGGGAGAACACAACUUCGUCUUGAAAUUUUAGUGAGAGAUCACCUCAUAAUGCUACCGUCGUUCUAAGCAAAAUAAGGUGCAUAAAAGGAUUAACAUCACAUGCAAUUCAUAAGUGACAUGAUAUGGCCAUCAUCACGUGCUUCUUGAUCUCCAUCACCAAAGCACCGGCACGAUCUUCUUGUCACCGGCGCCACACCAUGAUCAUCCAUCAACGUGUUGCCAUCGGGGUUGUCGUGCUACUUAUGCUAUUACUACUAAAGCUACAUCCUAGCAAAAUAGUAAACGCAUCUGCAAGCACAAACGUUAGUAUAAAGACAACCCUAUGGCUCCUGCCGGUUGCCGUACCAUCGACGUGCAAGUCGAUAUUUCUAUUACAACAUGAUCAUCUCAUACAUCCAAUAUAUCACAUCACAUCGUUGGCCAUAUCACAUCACAAUCAUACCCUGCAAAAACAAGUUAGACGUCCUCUAAUUUUGUUGUUGCAUGUUUUACGUGGUGACCGAGGGUAUCUAGUAGGAUCGCAUCUUACUUACGCAAACACCACAACGGAGAUAUAUGAGUUGCUAUUUAACCUCAUCCAAGGACCUCCUCGGUCAAAUCCGAUUCAACUAAAGUUGGAGAAACAGUCACUUGCCAGUCAUCUUUGAGCAAAGGGGGUUACUCGUAACGAUGAAACCAGUCUCUCGUAAGCGUACGAGUAAUGUCGGUCCAAGCCGCUUCAAUCCAACAAUACCGCGGAAUCAAGAAAAGACUAAGGAGGGCAGCAAAACGCACAUCACCGCCCACAAAACCUUUUGUGUUCUACUCGAGAAGACAUCUACGCAUGAACCUAGCUCAUGAUGCCACUGUUGGGGAACGUCGCAAGGGAAACAAAAAUUUUCCUACGCGCACGAAGACCUAUCAUGGUGAUGUCCAUCUACGAGAGGGGAUGAGUGAUCUACGUACCCUUGUAGAUCGUACAGCAGAAGCGUUAGUGAACGCGGUUGAUGUAGUGGAACGUCCUCACGUCCCUCGAUCCGCCCCGCGAACAAUCCCGCGAUCAGUCCCACGAUCUAGUACCGAACGGACGGCACCUCCGCGUUCAGCACACGUACAACUCGACGAUGAUCUCGGCCUUCUUGAUCCAGCAAGAGAGACGGAGAGGUAGAAGAGUUCUCCGGCAGCGUGACGGCGCUCCGGAGGUUGGUGAUGAUCUCGUCUCAGCAGGGCUCCGCCCGAGCUCCGCAGAAACGCGAUCUAGAGGAAAAACUAUGGAGGUAUGUGGUCGGGCUGCCGUGGAAAAGUCGUCUCAAAUCAGCCCUAAUAUCUCCGUAUAUAUAGGUGGGAGGGAGGGGAGGAGGCAGCCUCAAAACCUAAAGGUUUGGCCGAAAUUGGAGGUGGAGGAGUCCUACUCCAAUCCUACUUGGAGUAGGAUUCCACCUUCCCACUUGGAAACUCUUUCCACCUUGUGUUUUUUCCUUCUCAAACCUUAUGGGCCUUAGUGGGAACUUAUUCCAGCCCACUAGGGGCUGGUUUAUCUCUUCCAUAGCCCAUGAGACCCCUUGGGCGUGACACCCCUCGAUGGUCCCCCGGCACCCCUCCCGGCACUCCCGGUACACUACCCGAUGGAGCCCCCGGAAAACUUUUUUCCCGGGUAAAUUCGGCCAACCGGAAAAAAACCCUUUCCCGGGUAAAACCCAAAAAUUGGAAGGUCAAUCCGUAAUAUAUCAAUCUUCGUUUCCGGACCAUUCCCGGAAACCCUCGUGACGUCCGUGAUNNNNNNNNNNNNNNNNNNNNNNNNNNNNNNNNNNNNNNNNNNNNNNNNNNNNNNNNNNNNNNNNNNNNNNNNNNNNNNNNNNNNNNNNNNNNNNNNNNNNGACGGGCCGGACACGGCCGACUCCGACCUCGCACCUCCACCACCUCGCCUCCCAACCUACGUCCCGCCGGACCAACGCUCCCCCCGGUCCCAAGUCCCCUCCCCUCACCUCCACACACCACGCCUAACNCCACCGGUAACCGGCCACCCACUACGGACGACACUGCCCACCACCACCACCACUCCACUACAAGGCACCAGCGCAAGCCCGACGCAGAAAACCUAGGCUCGAGCCCGGCCCGGUCCGGUCGUCUAGGCCUACGAUCUCAGGCCCAGGUCCGGCCCAUCACUGCUAAUUUCUGUCGGGCUUCGGGCCUCGGGUCGGGCCCCUUCCUUAAAACGCAAAAACAGCAAGCCCAUGCCCUACCCGAAAUACUCUUCGGGCUCAAAAUUUAGGCCCGGGCAUGGGCAAGGUCGGGCCGGGCCGACCGGGCCGGGCUGCCCAUUGCUAGAUAUACGCCUCCCAUCCCUAGUGCCUCUUCGCCGACGUACUUGUCGGUGUUGGUCUUCGGUUGAACUGUUUGGGUCUAAUAUUUUUCGCCUUCGUUCGCGUGGUUACUCGUUUAAUCUUUCCGGUCUACGACUCUCUUCAUCGGUGGUAGUUACUGAUCUCGUGCGUUGUUCCUUAAAGUCUUUAGUAUGAUGGUUUUUUAACUGUCUACUAUAAUAAGGUUUUGUCUGACUUUAAUAAAAAAAGACGAUGACGAGAUGCAAUGGCAGACCUAAAUAUGACAGGUCCCAUGCCUUUUCACACCAUCUUCCAGUAUUAUAGCUAGAGUGCUACACUAUAGCUAUAGUCAACGAAGAAAAUGAUCUACACGCCAAGGCAGCCGCCCGGGCUGACUGGGCCUAAGAGCAUAUAUAUAUACCGGUUGAGGUUUGUUUUCUUCCGAGUCAUGGUAAAAAAUUACGGACCAGAUACGUGAUGCACGGUCUGUUUUGACUAGCAAAACGGACCGAAUCCGUACACUUAUCGAAAUUAUCGGGCAACUCUAUUACAGGGUCUGCUAGAGAUGUUCUAGAUCCGCGUGUGACUGGAUGGGCAUUCGACUCGAUGCAGUACCUGUAGCUGUCGCUGUUAACCUGGUUGUAAUUUUUAUAACAUAUGUUCUUUGUACUGCCAUUACUAAUUACAAAUAGAUUGAAAAGCUCUCAUAAAAAAAAGUGAUCCCAUAACUUUUAAUUAUUGUAAUACAUGUAUCAUUUGCAAAAUGUUUUGUAAAACUUUUAUAAGUUUAUACCGAGUAUUUUUCAGAAACAAAUAUUUAAGUGUAGUACAUUUGUAUUUUUUUAUUAGUUUUAACUAUGUAUGCAGCACUUAAUUGUAUAUAUACUACUGUAUUUGUUAAUGAAAAAUUACUGCACUGAUGCGUGGGUAUCAUGAGCGCAUGGCCGAGGUUACACUGGAUCUCAGUCGACCGAGCAGAUUAAAUACGUCUUGUCUCCAACGGGGACAUGUUGUUGGCACCGGCACGCGUCGACCUCCCCACCGGCUACCCUCCCCUGGCCUAGCCAGCUCACCGCGGGCAACCGCCUCGCGGCGCGACGCGUGCCACGGCGCGCGCGUACGUGGCGCCUCGCCGCGCUAAACAAAAUGGCCGCGCCGGUCGGCGGAUCGAGACCGAGAGAGAGAGCACACCAACCUCCGCCUCCAUUCACUCGCGGAGCACAGAUUCCCGGCCGACUCGCCGUCGCUGUCCCGGUGGUGCCCGCGACAGUGAUCGGAGGACGAUGGUGGUGACCGUGGCAGCGACGGGGCCGGACACGGCCGAGACGCUGCACUCCACCACCUUCGCCUCCCGCUACGUCCGCGACCAGCUCCCCCGGUCAGUCACCCUCCUCUCCUCCACACACCACGCCUACUCCUACCGGUAACCGGCCACCCACUACCCCACCACCACCACCACCACCACUCCACUACAAGGCACACAGGGGAUAGGNNNNNNNNNNNNNNNNNNNNNNNNNNNNNNNNNNNNNNNNNNNNNNNNNNNNNNNNNNNNNNNNNNNNNNNNNNNNNNNNNNNNNNNNNNNNNNNNNNNNAAUUGAUCUAUGAUAGCUGGCGCGGUGGAAACCACCCAAGUGUCKYYUYGCUCGCCCGCCCUCGCCGCCUCGCUCGCCCGCUUAACGCCGCAAAUUUCUACAGAGUUUACAGAGUAUAAACUUUGUAUAUACAAUUCCAAACAUAUACAAUACAAAAAUAUAACUGAUGGUGUAUCCAAUGACAUGCAUUUCGUAAGUUAAUGGACAUAAUUUGUGUGUAAACAAGGUCAAAGUUUGUGAUUUUUGACUUUUGAAAAAAAUCUAUACAUACUACAUUAUGGAAUGGAUGGAGUAUAAAUUUUCUUGACAUGGAUUGUUUAAGUUGUAGGAAUAAAUCCCAUAUGGUAUAGUUUUUUCAUUGAUGUUUAUUUUUUUAUCGGGACAAUAACUCCAAUAACAUAAACUUCCUUAAAGACUUUCACACAAUCCAUGUUUGUUUUAAUGAAUGUCCUCAACAACCAUACACUGCACUACCACCAAUUUAUAUGCCGUGUUCUCUGCAUGCUUCAGACUCACUGAGUUUUGACACAUCUGAGAAACCACCUGUUAGCAAAAGAGGGAAAGCACUAUGCAAGAACAAAGAAAAAGAAAUAAAGAAAGGGAGGUCAUCACUUCAUCUUGAGAAUAGAAGACGUCGGGAAGAAAACGCUCAGUUGAUGCGACCGCUAGCAUCCCACGAAGAGAAAACAUAUUGUCGAGCCCUAUGAUUUCUCGAUGCACCUGCACAGUCCCGGGUCUCAUACUCGUGUGGUUAGUACACACGGCAGUGAUGAGAAAAAAAAGUAUGGUCUAAAACGUAUAAUCAUUUGAAUUUACAUAAAAAAUGACUUAGUUUAACAAAAACGGUAAAAUAACUUAGGGUAAGAAUUAGUUUAACAAAAACGGUAAAAUAACUCCCUCUCCGUGACGCCGUCGUCUGCCGCCCCGUCUCGCGCUCUACCGCGACACCCUCUCCCACCCUUCCUCGCCCCCUCCUUUUGCCACCGCCCUUUCGCCACCGCCACCGCCACCGUCCCCCUUCUUCACUUAAUUAAUUUGUUUUUACUACAUGUUUUCAGGACUGACAUAAUGGCGGACGAUAGAGCUGACCCGAUUAUGGACAACUAUGAUCCGGACGGUGAAGCACAUAUGUUCGGCAUCAUAAACGGCGAUAUUCUAUAUGUGCCGACCGGAGAAGAAGAAGAUGAUAUCUCUUCUUAUCUGAACCUUGACGGUGAAGAUGAAGGGCGCCGUCGGCAAGAUGAUGCCGAACAAACGUCGAUAAACGACGAUCUUCAAAUGGAAGUAGCAACCACCUCCGGCGCCGAGGUAUAUAUACAUUGAGCCUCUGGUGAUACAAACUAACUGAUUUGAAUAAAUAUGUGUGUACUAACGCGCGCUACUCUCUUUCUUAUUUUAGCCCUCGGCCGGAUCGUCGAAACAAUCGAGUACGUCGUCAAAGCGUGGCGCAACCAAGACGAUGAAACAAGGAGAAACAUGCACCAUCGAGGUUGUCGAUAGUGCAACCGGCAGGCCGCUGGAGCCCCGCAAGAACGCCACCAAGUUUGUCAGCCAAUGCGGAGCCGUUGUUAGAGACAACGUCUCGAUCACCGUCCAGGAGUGGAAUGAGCCAAAGAAGGCACGAAUUGCUGGUUUCACUUUUGUCGAUAAGAGAACAAAAAAAGAUUGCUUCAUGAGAAAUGGAAGGCGGACUGCAAGAAGAAAAGAGAGCCCGAGCCCAAGCCAGUAUUUUCUGAUGAGCAAAAGAAGUGGGCUAAGUCAUUUUUGAGCACACCGUCCCAAGCCGCGAAGAAUCUGCCUGACGACUAUGCACGUGAACUUCGUAGGCAGGCAUUCAUGUUGAAGGAGAAGAAAGAGCGGGCGGAGAACCAGGAGAACAAAGCCUUGGAGGAGGCCGAGAAAACGGAAUUAGAAAGUAAAAAAAGCGGGAAACGAGUUGCCCAGCUCGGGGAACAAAGUAAACAAUCGAUUGCCCCGCUUAUAGUGAAAGCCGCCGGUCCGGAUGACCCCGAUAUCAUAGCAGCUGCGGCAGCACAUGGAUUGACUGUAACGAGUGCCAGAGAACAAACGGCCAACUUAGGUAUUACUCUUCGUGAAAUGUUAGGCCUUGAUGAGGCGCCAGUGAAGGAGGUAGUAAUUACAUAUGUGAAGAAUGGGCCUCUCAUCGAGCCUGCGCAGGAAGAGGAUCUACCUCCACAAAUGAAAGGUCUGCUGAAAUGGUACAAGGGUUACAUAAAAAAUAAAAACGCCAAAGAUUAUAUUUAUGCGGAAGUUAGAUAUGAGCAUCACUUCAAACAUUACUAUGUACAAAUUCAUCUGAGUGAAUUGUUCCAGCUUUUCAAUCUGCGGCGAGCUCGACAAAUCUAUCAUCAGUUGCUACGUUCUGUAAGUGAUUUAUUUAUACCCCAUCUCGUUCAUAUUGCCUGCACUAUAUAUAUGUCGUAACUAUAUUGUUGUGUCUGCUAUUAUACAUGCAGAAUGAAGAUUAAGGAAUGCAGAGUAAGGAACAUCCAUGAUGUUGGGUUCAUUGACCCACACAUCGUUAAUGGAUAUGUGUUGGAGCAUCACCCCGCCGACAUGGAGGCAGACCUGUGGCAGUUUCUUACAAAGCAGGAACUCAAAAGUGAUAUUCUAUUUCCUUACCAUUUUGGGUGAGUGUUUCUGUCUUGAGCACAUUCUCUUUUGUUUACUCCAUGCAUGGUAUGUGGCCGGCUAAUCGAUGAGUUAUGCAUGACGUACUGUGCAUGUAUCGUGUCCGCAGGUUCCAUUGGAUUCUGCUAGUAAUUAAAGUUGACACCUCAGAAUGUCUCGUCCACGACUCUCUGAAUAUGGAUCCAAAGCUUUGGGGCGGCAUGAGAAGAAUGCUGCAGAAGUAAUUAUUUUCAUUCAUUUGCGCUCUAUAUCGAUCGGCCUAUUUCGUUCAUUUCCUAAUAUCAAGUAACUAAUAACUCUCUUGUUCAUUUAAUUUUCUUUGCCUCGUAGGGUUUGGAGACGGUUCGUAGAUACAAAGGUCGGUGAAUUCAAAAAAGAGCUAGAAUUCAAAAGGUCAAAGGCUAAAAAUGGUGGGGAUAUUCAGCCAGCGGGGACCAAUCUAUGUGGAUACUAUGUCUGUGAGAUGAUCCGGAGAUACACCUCUGAGCGGGUUCCGAGUGAUACCAAUGCUCAGCGGAAUAACCUCCGGGUGAUGCUUAGUCCAGAAGCUCGCUUCCAACCACUUCAAGAGGAACUAGCUGGAUGGUUCAGGAGGGAAGUCCUCCAUCGUAAAGGAGAACACCAUUACGAGGACGUAGAACUUUAUAUGCAUUAAAUUAUGUAUGGAAACUUGUUCAAAAUUGUAUAUGGUCAUCCGAUGAUAUUGAAUAUAUAUUGUAUAUUCCUCUUGAAUUCUUUUUGGUUCUAAUUUCAAAUUUGUUUGUAAAUUGUACAUUCAUAUGCAUGUAUGUAGUACCGUAGAAUAUGUGAAACUCUUCAAAUUAAAAUAAAGCAACAAAAAGAAAUAAAAACAAUACAAAUUAAAACAAGAAAAAACGAAGGGUUUAAGGGGGGGGGGGGGACGUAAACCUGUGGCGGCCGUUAGUUCGCGGUUGGCCAGAAACGCGACUAAGUACUCCGCCCGACCGGCCGCCGUCGGCCGGCCCNNNNNNNNNNNNNNNNNNNNNNNNNNNNNNNNNNNNNNNNNNNNNNNNNNNNNNNNNNNNNNNNNNNNNNNNNNNNNNNNNNNNNNNNNNNNNNNNNNNNUCAAAAACGACUCAACUUUGCACUAACUUUAGUACAAAGUUGAGUCACUUAUUUUGGGACGGAGGGAGUAUAAUUUAGAUGCAUAGUUGCAUACCUCACCAUUCCUAAUCUAUUGACUCUCUUUAAUAAAAACGUUGUUCCUUGAGAACAAAAUAUUAUUAUGUUUACAUCAAAUUUAGGCUCUCUUUGGUUUACAGGAAUUUGUAAGAAUUCUAUAGGGUAGGAUUCCUUUAGGAAAAUUUCCUUUUGAGCCCUUUGAUUUGUAGGAAUGAGAUUCAUAUUCCUAUGUAGAAUUGAUUCCUAUCCUUCACAUUUCAAAGGAGAAAAAAAACAUUAGCUAAGACCUAAUGGAAAAGUUCCUAUCCUAUGAGCCAAAUGACAUCUCUUUUCCUAUUGGAACUGAGAUACAUGUCAUCCCGUUUCCUAUGACUUCCCUAUUCCUACAAUAUUCCUAUCCUAUGAACCAAAGGCGUCCAUGCAUAUAUUUUACAAAAGUAUAGUGCACUCUGAGCAAGUGGUUACCAGAAUUGUGCCUCUCAUCAUGGGGAUCUUGUUAGGACGAACAUCGUCAGGACAAGGAUGAACAUCGUCAGGACAAGGAUGAAGAACCAGGAGAUAGGGAGAUGGAUCUUCUGGAACUCGCUCUUCAAACUGGAAGACACAAAAAUCAGUCAAAGUAUUAAUCGAUGUCAACAUGCGUCAUAACUGUAGUACAAUGUUAAGGAGUCAUGGCAUACAACAUACCUCUUCCAAUAAUGCAUGACCGUCUGGGAGCACAUACCUGUAAUAACAACUAUGCAAUCUUAGUGGGGCACUGCUGACUUCUGAGGACAAAAUCUCAAUAUAUCAGGAAAGUAUAUCAUUACGUACGCAAGGUGCUCUGUCCUAAGACGCCCUAUGUGUUUCAGGUUUCUGCUUGUAUGUUGUGAAUUGCUCAAUGCCAAAUCUUUUCCAUGAUUUGGUGUCCAAGAGCAAUUGCUCACCAUAGGCUUGUUUGAACACAGAUUUAUUUCAACGUCGUAGUGUACUCUUUUUGACAUGAUGUCUUCAAUAUCAACAAGAUCAUCUUCAUUGGGAUAUUCUUGCUCAUCAAGUGCUUCAUAUUCAUAUUCGGGACUUGGUGGCACCUCAAUAAUGGGCUCACAGCUGCGGGAGGGUUGUCUGCCAGCAGCCCUGCUUUCUUCGAUUUGAUGUUGCCACACUUGCAGACUUGGCAUGCAACUACCAUUUGACAACAGUCUUUCAGAAGUAACCAUACUUUUUUUCUCUUCACCACCACGCACAUGCUCCUCUGCAGGAGGAAGUAAUGGUCUGAUAACAAGCAAAUGUUAUUGUUCCGUGCUUCACUCUAAAAUUAGUCCAAAUCAAUAAAUAAAAAGUUCACCAUGCAAAUAUCGACUCCACAAGAAAGACACAAAUCUUAUAUGAGUACUCAUCUUUGUAUAUUGCACCUUCUAAAAGGUUUUACUUCACUUAGUAAUUUCCAAUCCUUUGUUAAAGACAUAUCACUUGAAUGACAUAUAGCACUUGAAUGACAUAGGUGUUAAAGACAUAAACACCUAUGUCACAGUACUACCUAGUUCAUUGGCAGCCACUCAAAUUCAAACAGCAUCCGCCAAAAAAAAGGUAGAAUAUCACCAAAGAACUAGCCAUGGACAGGGCUGCGAGUUAGUUAGCUAUCCACGUGCCAUGACCAUGAGUUGGUUUCGAGAUCUUAUGGAUUUCAGCUCUAGCCUACCCCAACUUGAUUCGGACUAAAGGCUUAGCUGUUGUUGCUGCGAGAGUUCACUACGUACCAUAACAAUAGUAUCUCGGUAUGUUGCUGAAAUAAGCUCAAGUAAAUAACUUUGCAACAUGUGAACAUACCUGGUAAGUUUACUUUUGUAGUACCUGCAGUCCCCACGGAAUGGGCAAGCAUUGCAAUUUGGAUCUACUUUUGUGCAAAUUACCUGCAUAAUGGAAGCAUCCACCAUAAAAACAUUUKKAGCUAAAACUAUCAAUUAAAUUUUUAACUAAUCUACUUUUUGUGGAUUAGCUAAAUACCUUUCCWAAAGUUAAUUCAUGAGACAGUGUAGUUCAUACCUUAUUAUUUUACUAUAUUCGUUCAGUAUGUGUCUUACUAAAUUUACUUAAAGUUAACNNNNNNNNNNNNNNNNNNNNNNNNNNNNNNNNNNNNNNNNNNNNNNNNNNNNNNNNNNNNNNNNNNNNNNNNNNNNNNNNNNNNNNNNNNNNNNNNNNNNCAGGAUGGACGUGAACUGGGCCUGCCCCUGCCCACCGGAAUCUCCUGAGGCUGCGUGGGCGCGCUCCUCGCCGUCCUGCCCGCAUAUGCUUCCGCGCCGUCUGCCGCACCUGGAGGGAAGCCAUCCCGGAAGAGCAAGCCCGCGCGAUGCCGGCGCCGUGGGUCAUCGUACCCCGCGUCGACGGCUGCACCGACUCCUUCCUCGUACUCUCCGCGCCCACCAUGAACUCCUUCCGGUGGACGCCCCCGGACGGUGCGCGCGCCCGCUGCGUCGGCUCCAACGGCUCCUGGCUCGCCAUCGUCACCGUCGUCGACGUCCGGAGCCUCGCCAUCUCGCUCGUCAACCCGCUCACCGACGCGCGCGUCGAGCUCCCGCUCAUCACCGGCUGGCGAUGGGCGUUGGAUACCGAGCACGAUCUCGAGUUCGAGCUCGACGUCGUUGUCCGGAAGGUGGCCUUCUCCCCGAGCCCCAGCGCGCACGACUACGCCGCUGCCUACGUGUCUCCCUGCAGCCAAGCUGUGUUUUGCACCAGGGCCGGCACCCACCGCUGGCUUCCGCUCCCGGAGCUUGUCGGCGGUGACCGCGAGCACGAGGGCGUCAGGCGGGAGCUGGACGUGGCGUACCACGACGGCAAGUUCUACUACAUCGCCACCAGCGGCCAGGUGUGGGUGGUCGACAUGGCCGCCGCGCCGCCUCCCUCUCCCGUGCCGCUCCACGUCUUGUCGCCACCCUUGGACGGCUUGCUCACGUGCCGCGGAUACCACCUGGCUUUCUCUUCUACGCCGAUGGCGCGCUGCAUGUGGUGUGGAGCCGGAGCGAGGGCAAUGGAUACCCGCCGAGCUGGAACCUCUGGGACAUGGCCGUGACACGCUACGGCCUCGACGCGUCUGGCAAGGAGGGGUUUAGCGCUCCGGGGAGCAUCGUCGGCCGCCGCGCCUUCCUCAUCGGAGAUCGCAACCAGUCCAUGUCGGUCCCCGUUGACAACAAUUCCUGGCUCAGGCCCAACUCAAUCUACUUCGCCAACAUCCCGCUCUGCGUGAGCUUUUCGCCAUUGAAUGCCCUGGCCGUCGAGGCUUGCGGGCCUUCGACGUGGUCACCGGCAAGAUCACUUGGGUGCACGCACCAACCGGCAUGGACGUCGAGAGGCCGUUGAAAUCGGAAUGGAUGGCUCGGCCGCGCGAGAUGUUUGAUAAUAAACACUUGGGAUCCGAAUUGGACGUGGACUGGGCAAAAUCCCUUUGGUUCAUGCCCUGCUUGACACAACCGCCCAAAUAAAAAGUGUGGUGAGUGGUUUUUUGUAUACUCUGAUGAAAUACCGUGCAUGCAUUCACCGUCCGUCCUUUUUUGAGGUUCAUGCCAUGUUUUAUGAUAUUUAGUCUCGCAAAUUUCUUGUGUUUCAAAAUAUUACUUCCUCCGUCCACUGAUGGAAAAAGGGCCUUUGGUCGCGGUUCGCAACUGCCAUUAGUCGCGGUUGCGUAACCGCGACCAAAUAGGCGCGACUAAAGGCCCCCCCUUUAGUCGCGGUUGCUUAAGAACCGCAACUAAAGGCCCGUCCACGUGGGCGCCAGGCGGCCGUCGGGGCGGAGGACCUUUAGUCGCGGUUUUUCUGGCCAACCGCGACUAAAGGCCGCCACAGGGUUUAGCCCCCCCCCCCCCUAAACCUGUUUUUUHGUUUMAUUUGUUAUUGUUUUUAUUUUCUUUUUGUUGCUUUAUUUUAAUUUUGUAAGGAGUUUCUACAUAUUCUUACGGUACUACAUACAUGCAUAUGAAUGUACAAUUUCUAACAAAAUUUUAGUAAAAUUAAGUAAACCCAAAAAAAAGAAAAAUUUCCUAAAGAAGGGAAUAAUUAACAAAUAAUUAAUAAUUUNNNNNNNNNNNNNNNNNNNNNNNNNNNNNNNNNNNNNNNNNNNNNNNNNNNNNNNNNNNNNNNNNNNNNNNNNNNNNNNNNNNNNNNNNNNNNNNNNNNNAAAUAAUACUUAAAAUAACAAAAUAAAUAAUUAAUACAAAAAAAAUUAACAAGAARAAAWAWAAACUAAAUUACAAUUACAAUAAUAGUUAAAAACACAAAAAAUWAUAUACAAAAAAAUUAAAGAAAAAAUAAAACUAAAUUCAAAUUACAAAAAUAGUUUAAAAAAUAACAAAUAAAUAAUAUACAAAAAAUUAAGAAAAAAUAAAAACUAAAUUCAAUUCAAAAUGCACCAACCAGCCGGGACUAAAGGUUAGAUGACCAGCUCUGGAUUCCUCUUCUUCCCGCCAUUUCUUCCCUGUCUUCCCGCCUCUUUCUUCCCGCCUCCUGUCUUCCCGCUCCCAUUUUUCCCGCCAUUUCUCACUACAUAUAUGUAGCCCGGCUUGGCCAGCAUUAUCACAUCUCUACAAUCUCUCAUCACUCUCUCAUGGCUUCCACCGCACCCACUCUAACCUACCAGCAGGUGGAGGAGCUUUGCGCCUCGAACUACCCUUGUCCACCGGGCUACCGCGUCCCACCGGCUGGAGCCUAAGCGCCGGCGGCGUGCCGGUCCCUCCCGUCCCUCAGGGUACUGCGCGCCGGGCGGCCAUCACGAACCACUACUACCUCGACCUCACGCCGGAGCAGCGGAUGAAUCCCCGCUGGCAUCCCGAUAACCAGCAUACUUGGGACGCCUUCUUCAUCAAUCGGCGUGAGAGGGCGCUCGCCAGGUAUGUGGAGGACGGUCUGCCUCCUGGGAACUUCCACGAGGCCGGCCGUCGGCUAUGGUGGUACGGCCGGACUCUGCAGAGCGUCAUGGACUACAUCACGGCCGGCGAUAUCCCCCGCCUGCGCUACCCUCAGUUCGAGCCANNNNNNNNNNNNNNNNNNNNNNNNNNNNNNNNNNNNNNNNNNNNNNNNNNNNNNNNNNNNNNNNNNNNNNNNNNNNNNNNNNNNNNNNNNNNNNNNNNNNUACGUACGUACGUACGUACGUACGUAACCGUACUAACUACUAACUAUAUAUAUAUAUAUAUAUAUAUAUAUAUAUAUAUAUAUAUAUAUAUAUAUAUAUAUAUAUAAACUCUAUUCAUCACACAGGGUGCAGAAUAAAUUAUUCCUCACUCGAGUUAAUUUAAGACCAUUUCAUAAAUAAAUGAAAUUAGAAAUGCAAAUAGAUACAAUUAUAUUGAUUAACUACGGAAAAAUUUGCCAUAAUAAAACAAAAAUAUAGAUCAUAAGACUAGAAAAAUCGCAUUUUAUGUAUAAUUUACACUAUGUUUUUUUGUUUGUAAUUUUACGUGACAUAAAAUAUUUUUUACGGUGACUAUGUAUUUUUUUACGGUCUSUUUUUACGUAUGAAAUAAGAUUAAAAUUUAAGAAACGUAAAAUUACGGUGUAUUGAUGUGAAAAUAGAGGGGGGUGAAGAAUAACUAUUCCUCACCCAAGAUGACGAAUAGUGCGACCCUAUUCAUCACCGUAAAAAAAUACAUCACCCAGGGUGAAGAAUAGAAACUCUAUUCAUCACCCAGGGUGCAGAUUAAAUUAUUCUUCACCCGAGGUAAUUUUACGACCAUUUUAUAAAUAAAUUAACUUUGAAAUGCAAAUACAUACGUUUAUAUUGAUUCACUAUGAAAAAUUUGACAUAAGAAAACAAAAAUAUAGGUCAUAAGACCAGAAAAAUCACAUUUUUUUUAUAAUUUACACUAUGUUUUUAUGUUUGUAAUUUUACAUGACAUCAAAUAUUUUUUACGGUGAGUAUGUAUUUUUUUACAGUCUCUUUUUACGUAUGAGAUAAGAUUAAAAUUUUAGAAAUGUAAAAUUACGGUUUAUUGAUGUGAAAAUAGAGGGGGGAUGAAGAAUAACUAUUCCUCAUCCAGGGUGACGAAUAACGCGACCCAGGGUGCAGAAUAGUUUAUUCUUCACCCGAGAUAAUCUUACGAUCAAUUUACAAAUAAAUUAAAUUUUAAAUACAAAUAUUUACAUUUAUAUUGAAUCACUAUGUAAAAAUUGACAAAAUAAAAACAAAAAUAUAGGUGAUAAUACAGGAAAAAAAAUGUUUUUUUUUGUAUUUUUUGCACUAUUUUUGUAAGUUCGUAAUUUUACGUGAUAUAAAAUAUUUUUAUAUUGGUUAUAUUUUUUUUACAGUCUCGUUUCAUGUAUAAAAUAAAACAGAAUUUACGAAACGUAGCAUUGCCCCUCCUGUCGUACAGUGAAAAUAAUGGAAAAUAAUAAAUGGUCGCGUGACCAGCUAUCUUGUAGCCAGCUCCCGGCACGACGCGUGCCGUGGCGCGCGUGUACGUGUGCCUCGCUGCAGUAAACAAAAAGAAAGCAACGUCCCAUCACCGCGUCGGUCGGCCGAUUGAGACCGAGAGAGAGAGAGCACACACCAACAUCCGCCUUCACGGCCGAUCACGGGGCAGCGACGGGGCCGGACACGGCCGAUCCGCUGCACUCCACCACCUUCGCCUCCCACUACGUCCGCGACCAGCUCCCCCGGUCAGUCCCCUCCCUCACCUCCACACACCACGCCUACUCCUACCGGUAACCGGCCACCCACUACGGACGACACUGCCCCACCACCACCACCACUCCACUACAAGGCACACAGGGGAUAGSCCGACGCAGAAAACCUAGGCUCGAGCCCGGCCCGGUCCGGUCGUCAGGCCUAGAUCUCAGGCCCAGGUCCGGCCCAGUUCACCUGCUAAUUUCUGUCCGGGCUUNNNNNNNNNNNNNNNNNNNNNNNNNNNNNNNNNNNNNNNNNNNNNNNNNNNNNNNNNNNNNNNNNNNNNNNNNNNNNNNNNNNNNNNNNNNNNNNNNNNNAUUAUCAAUGUUUAUUAAAAUUUAAUAAAAAAUAAUGCAUAAUUACACAUGAAUCAGGUUAUGUCCAUCUUUUCGUCCGAUGCAACGCACGGGCAUUUGUACUAGUACUACUAAUAAACAAGCCAACAAUUUUUUUCUUACGAACAUCCCAUAAAAUGUACACGAAAAUAUAUCACCAUCAGAUCAACCCAUUGGAUYAWAKSWAWMAAUACUUGACACGCAGAAAACAGUAGCAACAAAAUGACACGAUCAACAUGCUACGUCUAUUAGUUUGGGUCUAGUCCAUCACAUGAUUCUCCUAAUGAUGUGAUCCCGUUAUCAAGUGACAACACUUGCCUAUGGCCAGGAAACCUUGACCAUCUUUGAUUAACGAGCUAGUCAACUAGAGGCUUACUAGGGACAGUGUUUUGUCUAUGUAUCCACACAAGUAUUGUGUUUCCAAUCAAUACAAUUAUAGCAUGGAUAAUAAACGAUUAUCAUGAACUAAGAAAUAUAAUAAUAACUAAUUUAUUAUUGCCUCUAGGGCAUAUUUCCAACAGUCUCCCACUUGCACUAGAGUCAAUAAUCUAGUUCACAUCACCAUGUGAUUCCAACGAAUCCAACACCCAUAUAGUUAUGGGGUCUGAUCAUGUCUUGCUUGUGAGAGAGGUUUUAGUCAACGGUUCUGAAACUUUCAGAUCCGUGCGUUCUUUACAAAUCUUUAUGUCAUCUUAUAGAUGCUGCUACUACGUGCUAUUCGGAAAUGCUCCAAAUAUCCACUCUACUAUAUGAAUCCGUUUCACUACUCAUAGUUAUUCAGAUUAGUGUCAAAGCUUGCAUCGACGUUACCCUUUACGACGACWCUUACCUAACCNCCACUAAUACGAGAAAAAUUAACCUUUAACGUUCCUACUUUGUUUACUUAAGGUAAGUAAAUUUUAGUUACCGCCUGCUAGUGAUUCUNNNNNNNNNNNNNNNNNNNNNNNNNNNNNNNNNNNNNNNNNNNNNNNNNNNNNNNNNNNNNNNNNNNNNNNNNNNNNNNNNNNNNNNNNNNNNNNNNNNNGGACACGGAGGCUCCUGAACCUACACCAGGGUGGGACGGCCAUGGCAACAUCUCGUGGGUUCGACGUGACAGUCUCUCAGGCCGGUGACAAAAGCAUCAAGAGGUUUGCAGCGACGGUGAACUCGUGCGACGUGCUGGUGGCGGUGCACGGCGCGGGCCUCACCAACCAAGUGUUCCUCCCGGCGCGGGCCGUGGUGGUGCAGAUCGUGCCGUUGGGCGGGAUGGAGUGGAUGGCCACGAACUUCUACGGCGAGCCGGCGCGCGACAUGUAGAUGUUAAUCAUGUUGCUCAUGUAGGAUUAGGAAAGAAAGCCAAACCGAGUCCUAGUAGUAUUAGGAUUCCUAGUCCUAGUCCUAUUUCCGUAGUCCCUUGUGGACGUGUAUAAAAGACACCCUAGGGGUGUUGAUUGUAACACCAGAAAAACGAAAAGCAAUACAAAGCAAAAGCUCGACACGGGCCUUUAGCCAUCAAAUCCAUCGAUCUUGACCAUAUCAAAUACCUCAGCACCAGUGCGUUCCGCAGGCUUCGGCCGGUGAUCUGCCUUGCCGUUGUAAUGCUUGCCUUUCUUUCUUACUGGAUGNNNNNNNNNNNNNNNNNNNNNNNNNNNNNNNNNNNNNNNNNNNNNNNNNNNNNNNNNNNNNNNNNNNNNNNNNNNNNNNNNNNNNNNNNNNNNNNNNNNNCUCGAUGGCGAGCACCAUAACAUCGACGACGUCCUCUUCGGCGAUCACCGGCCUCGGGCUAGGAUGGAUCUCACCGCCAUGACCUGCAGACGUCAAAUUGACGCGCGGGUCAAAUGAGGUGAACCACUAGGAGGCUACCGACGAUGUUUGAGCARAUGGUCAAGGYUCACURSCAWRGGCRAURUUGUCACUUGAUAACGAAUCACAUCAUUAGGAGAAUCAUGUGAUGGACUAGACCCAAACUAAUAGACGUAGCAUGUUGAUCGUGUCAUUUUGUUGCUACUGUUUUCUGCGUGUCAAGUAUUUAUUCCUAUGACCAUGAGAUCAUAUAACUCACUGACACCGGAGGAAUGCUUUGUGUGUAUCAAACGUCGCAACGUAACUGGGUGACUAUAAAGAUGCUCUACAGGUAUCUCCGAAGGUGUUAGUUGAGUUAGUAUGGAUCAAGACUGGGAUUUGUCACUCCGUGUGAACGGAGAGGUAUCUCGGGGCCCACUCGGUAAUACAACAUCACACACAAGCCUUGCAAGCAAUGUAACUUAGUGUAAGUUGCGGGAUCUUGUAUUACGGAACGAGUAAAGAGACUUGCCAGUAAACGAGAUUGAAAUAGGUAUACGGAUACUGACGAUCGAAUCUCGGGCAAGUAACAUACCGAAGGACAAAGGGAAUGACAUACGGGAUUAUAUGAAUCCUUGGCACUGAGGUUCAAACGAUAAGAUCUUCGUAGAAUAUGUAGGAUCCAAUAUGGGCAUCCAGGUCCCGCUAUUGGAUAUUGACCGAGGAGUCUCUCGGGUCAUGUCUACAUAGUUCUCGAACCCGCAGGGUCUGCAACUUNNNNNNNNNNNNNNNNNNNNNNNNNNNNNNNNNNNNNNNNNNNNNNNNNNNNNNNNNNNNNNNNNNNNNNNNNNNNNNNNNNNNNNNNNNNNNNNNNNNNGGGUUAGAGUGGGUGCGGUGGAAGCACUGAGAGAGUGAUGAGAGAUUGUAGAGAUGUGAUAAUGCUGGCCAAGCCGGGCUACAUAUAUGUAGUGAGAAAUGGCGGGAAAAAUGGGAGCGGGAAGACAGGAGGCGGGAAGAAAGAGGCGGGAAGACAGGGAAGAAAUGGCGGGAAGAAGAGGAAUCCAGAGCUGGUCAUCUAACCUUUAGUCCCGGCUGGUUGGUGCAUUUUGAAUUGAAUUAGUUUAUUUUUCUUAAUUUUUUGAUAUAUUAUUUGUAUUUUUAACAUUUUGAAUUGAAUUAGUUUUAUUUUUCUUAAUUUUUUGAUAUAAUUUUUGUGUUUUUAACAUAUUGAAUUGAAUUAGUUUUAUUUUUCUGAAUUUUUUGUAUAUAUUAUUUGUAUUUUUAAGAUAUUGAAAAAGAAAAGUAUUUUGAAAAAUACCUUUAGUCGCGGUUGGCCAGACCAACCGCGACUAAAGGUCGUUGCGCGCGGGAACGAAAAAAACCCUUUAGUCGCGGUUGGUUUGCCAACCGCGCCUAAAGUUUACCUUUAGUCGCGGGUCGCCUCCCCAACCGCGACUAAAGGGGGCGGGCUAUAAAUACAAGGGCCUGCCGCCGUCUUCUCCGAUUCUCGUCUUCUCCGAUUCUCUGCCGCGCGCGCCGAAGGCCUGCCGCCGUCGCCCUCGCCCUCGACGCCGCCCGCCGUCGCCCUCGCCCACCGCGCGCGCGCCGCCUCGCUCGCCCGCCCUCAACGACGCCGGCCGGCCUCGGGUACCUGCCGCCUCGCUCGCCCGCCCUCGCCGCCUCGCUCGCCCGNUUAACCGCCGCAAAUUUCUACAGAGUUUACNGAGUAUAAACUUUGUAUAUNNNNNNNNNNNNNNNNNNNNNNNNNNNNNNNNNNNNNNNNNNNNNNNNNNNNNNNNNNNNNNNNNNNNNNNNNNNNNNNNNNNNNNNNNNNNNNNNNNNNCCGGCGCCCGCCGUGACACGUGCCCCCUCUCCGAAAGACUUCCCAAAAAUGCGCCGGCGAUGAAGAAGACCAUCAGGAAGGUGUCCGCAAACGAAGAAGAAGCGGUGGAUGGCUCUACUAGGCUGCUUCAAACUAUAUAAUGUUUCGUUGUGUAUGAACAAUAAGAGUGCACUUUUGGAGUGGAUUUGCUAGCUGACAGUGAAACCCAACAAUACACUUUGAAACAAAUUAGAAAAGGAGGCAUAAAAAAAUAUAUCAUGUACUCCUUCUAUCUCAAAAUAAGUGACGUAAGUUUUUGUACUAAGUUAGUACAAAAUUUUUGUACUAAAGCAGCGUCACUUAUCUUGGGGACCACUGGUAGAAAAAGAGGCUUCCGUCCAGCCCCAUAAGUCGCGACACUGUAGGAACCGCGACUAAAGGUGCCCAAAKKYCUUUAGUCGCGGUUUGCCAUGCCAACCGCGACUAAAUCUCCUCCCCUAUAGAUACCAGUUCAGCACACUCACUUAGCCAUUUGGUGCCACUUCUCUUCACAAGCUUCACAAGGGGNNNNNNNNNNNNNNNNNNNNNNNNNNNNNNNNNNNNNNNNNNNNNNNNNNNNNNNNNNNNNNNNNNNNNNNNNNNNNNNNNNNNNNNNNNNNNNNNNNNNACCCGAACGGGACGAAUAAAGAAAUUACUAACUUAAUUAACAAGCAACGACCAACAACGCCUGGCAGCCAUAUAAUCAAUAAGAAUAAUAAACAACUUGGGAUCCGAAUUGGACGUGGACCUGGGCAAAANCCCUUUGGUUCAUGCCCUGCUUGACACAAACCGCCCAAAUAAAAAGUGUGGUGAGNGGUUUUUUUGUAUACUCUGAUGAAAUACCGUGCAUGCAUUCACCGUCCGUCCUUUUUUGAGGUUCAUGCCAUGGUUUUAUGAUAUUUAGUCUCGCAAAUUUCUUGUGUUUCAAAAUAUUACUUCCUCCGUCCACUGAUGGAAAAAGGGCCUUUGGUCGCGGUUCGCAACUGCCAUUAGUCGCGGUUGCGUAACCGCGACCAAAUAGGCGCGACUAAAGGCCCCCCCCUUUAGUCGCGGUUGCUUAAGAACCGCAACUAAAGGCCCGUCCACGUGGGCGCCAGGCGGCCGUCGGGGCGGAGGACCUUUAGUCGCGGUUUUUCUGGCCAACCGCGACUAAAGGCCGCCACAGGGUUUAGCCCCCCCCCCCCCUAAACCUGUUUUCUGUUUAAUUUGUAUUGUUUUAUUUCUUUUGUGCUUUAUUUUAAUUUUGAAGGAGUUUCACAUAUUCUACGGUACUACAUACAUGCAUAUGAAUGUACAAUUUCAAACAAAUUUGAAAUUAGAACCAAAAAAGAAUUCAAGAGGAAUAUACAAUAUAUAUUCAAUAUCAUCGGAUGACCAUAUACAAUUUUGAACAAGUUUUCCAUAACAUUAAAUUUAAAUGCAUAUAAAGUUCUACGUCCUCGUAAUGGUGUUCUCCUUUACGAUUGGAGGUACUUCCCUCCUGAACCAUCCAGCUUAGUUCCUCUUGAAGGUGGUUGGAAGCGAGCUUCUGGACUAAGCAUNNNNNNNNNNNNNNNNNNNNNNNNNNNNNNNNNNNNNNNNNNNNNNNNNNNNNNNNNNNNNNNNNNNNNNNNNNNNNNNNNNNNNNNNNNNNNNNNNNNNUCUNUCUUUUUACCUUUCCUUUUUCAGUNUAUUUUUNUUGAUUUNUUCUUUUCAUUUUUAUUCUUUCUUUCCUAUUUCUUAUUUUUCUUUCGUUUCUAUUUUUCAUGAAUUAUUUCUUUUUUACUAAAUUUUUGACUAUUUUUUGUAAUUCUUCCUUUUGUUAAAUCCGCUAAACUUUAUAAUUAAUGUAAUUUUUUGGAACCUUCGAAUUAUUUACCCAAAACCGUUAAACUUUUCUCCGAUUUCUGAAUGUAUUUUUAGAAAAUUUCAUGAGUUGUUUCAAAACCAUUAAGGAAUUUAAAAACCAUGUAUUUUUUGUCCAAAUUUGGUACAAAAAAAAUUUAAAUCAAUGAACUUUUUCCAAAUUUGUGAAUAGUGCUAUUCACAAUUUCUUUUUAAAUUUUAAAUUUUAAUUUUUCAAAUUCGUGUCAUUUCCAAAUUAAAACAUUAUUAUAUAUGUUUGCAUUUUUUUAAAUCUGUGAGUUGUUUUAUAUGCAUGAUUAUUUUUGGAAUCGCAAUGCUUUUUUCAACUUUACAAACUUUUUUUUAUUUUUAAAUCUGUUAACCUUUUCAAUUCCAUCGAUUUUACUGAAAUUGUUGAACUAACUUUUAGAUUCAAGGAAUUUCGUUUUUUCACGAAAUUAUUUGUUUUUUUAGUAAUUGUCAAAUCGGUGGUCAGACCGAUUUUUCGUGCACUAGNGCACAACGUAGACUCGAGAGGGUAAAACGAGGAAGAAGAGAGCGAUNNNNNNNNNNNNNNNNNNNNNNNNNNNNNNNNNNNNNNNNNNNNNNNNNNNNNNNNNNNNNNNNNNNNNNNNNNNNNNNNNNNNNNNNNNNNNNNNNNNNUUGGUGUGUGCUCUCUCUCUCUCGGUCNCAAUCGGCCGACCGACGCGGGUGAGUGGGACGGUUGUCUUUUCUUUUUUGUUUACUGCAGCGAGCACCACGUACACGCGCGCCACGGCACGCGGUCGUGGCCGGGAGCUGGCUACAAGAUAGCUGGUCACGCGACCUAUUUAUUUAUUUUCCAUUUAUUUUCACUGUACGACAGGGAGGGGCAAUGCUACGUUUACGUUAAAUUCUUGUUUUUAUUUUUAUACAUAGAAACGAGACUAGUAAAAAAAAUAUAACCAAUAUAAAAAUUAUUUUAUAUCAACGUAAAAUUACGAACUUAACAAAAAUAGUGACAAAAAAUAACAAAAAAAAACUAUUUUUUUUUCCUGUAUUAUCACCUAUUAUUUUUUGUUUUUUAUUUUGUCAAUUUUUACAUAGUGAUUCAAUAUAAAUGUAAAUAUUUGUAUUUAAAAUUUAAUUUAUUUGUAAAUUGAUCGUAAGAUUAUCUCGGGUGAAGAAUAAACUAUUCUGCACCCUGGGUCGCGUUAUUCGUCACCCUGGAUGAGGAAUAGUUAUUCUUCAUCCCCCCUCCUAUUUCUUACAACUCAACUAAAACCGUAAACUUUUUAACUUAUUUACUUAAAAACUUUUAAAAUUUACUUAUUCUUCCUAUAACGUUAAAAAANNNNNNNNNNNNNNNNNNNNNNNNNNNNNNNNNNNNNNNNNNNNNNNNNNNNNNNNNNNNNNNNNNNNNNNNNNNNNNNNNNNNNNNNNNNNNNNNNNNNGACGACGACAAUCAAGAUGAUGGUCACGGUCACGACGACUACGCCGACGACACGGAUGUCGAUGACACACCAAGGUCUCAGCCGUCUUCCUCAAGUGCAUCAACACCGACACAAUUUGUGUCGCCUCCCUCGCAAGCCACAACGGACUCCUCAGGGCCUCGUCGCUACAAGACCCUCAAGAAAGUCUACAAGUACACAAAGCCAGUUACGCUCGAGUACUCCGGACUAUGUCUGUUCGGAGUUGAGGAGCGGCGAACUUCAUAGAGGCGAGCAAAAGUCCUAGCUGGACGCACACCAUGGAUGAGGAGAUGAAGGCAAUUGAGAGCAAUGGCACGUGGACUUUGGUAACCCGACCUCCAAACCAAAAGACGAUAGGUUUGAAGUGGGUUUACAAGUUAAAGAAGGACACAGAGGGUGCCAUUGUGAAGUACAAGGCAAGACUCGUUGCAAAGGGCUACGUACAACGUCAAGGAGUUGACUAUGAUGAGGUGUUUGCAUCGGUUGCUCGAAUCGAGACGGUGAGAGUGCUCCUAGCUUUGGCAGCACAAGAGGAUUGGAAGGUUCAUCAUAUGGAUGUUAAAUCCGCUUUCCUCAACGGCGAUCUCACAGGAGAAGUGUACGUGGAACAACCCUCGGCUACGAGAAGAAAGGCGAAGAAGGGAAAGUUUACAAGCUUCAAGAAGGCACUUUACGKRKKGAUAGSAAGCGCCAAGAGCUUGGAACWCAAAGUUACCGRMCKARGUCUGGCCGUNNNNNNNNNNNNNNNNNNNNNNNNNNNNNNNNNNNNNNNNNNNNNNNNNNNNNNNNNNNNNNNNNNNNNNNNNNNNNNNNNNNNNNNNNNNNNNNNNNNNAUUUCGGAUUUUUGGUUUGACAGGGCCCGCAAGCUUUCUGUAUCCUUAUAAUAUGUGCUUGGUCUUUUUUUCCAUUUGGAUAUUUUAUUUGCAACAGUGGUAAGUUGAGUACGAGUUGACAUGUUCCAUGCUAUACAACUUGCCACCAAACAUUUUGAUAUUUUGAUACACCGGUUCUUCAUCAUUCACGACAUUUCCAAUGAAUGUUUUAUUUCUUGUCAAAAUUUGACAUGGGAGCAACUACUUGAUCCGUUCCCAGGUUUUUUAUUUGAUUCGGCACUACUUGGUGCGCGUCAACUCCCAAGACAAAAACUGCAUUUGGCACAAAAAAAUUGCCAUACGUUGUGUCUGCUCUACAUAGUUGUAAUGACUUCCACUUUACUUCAUGUUUCUUGUGUGAUCUUUGGGUCCGGUAUAUCAAAUCUGGCACCCUGUAUCUCUCUGGACGCGUCCGGAUGCAUCUGCAGAAGGUGACCGGCCAAUUCUCAAAUCACCGUGUCCACAUUUCUGUACUAUGCAUGCAAUGUAGAAAAAAAAUACUAACUAUUGCUAUGGACUCGUAGAUUCCAAUUAACUAUUCACACAUCAUCAUGNNNNNNNNNNNNNNNNNNNNNNNNNNNNNNNNNNNNNNNNNNNNNNNNNNNNNNNNNNNNNNNNNNNNNNNNNNNNNNNNNNNNNNNNNNNNNNNNNNNNACCUUUCUAAGAAAUCGGCGGGAAGGUAUCCGUAAUUACAGCCACGAGCUGUUUCUUCUCCGUCUAUGGUGAAGACCGAUGUUGGGCGAUCUUCCACUCUGACAUAUCCUGGCCUUCCCACUCACCUUCCUUGGAUCCUCCCCUUCCUCACAAAGUUAUAGAUGGCAUGAAGUUGAAGUCGCACUUCCUCUAGCAUGGUUGUCUGGGAGCAACCGCAUCGCUGGUCGCCAUUGGCGACGGAGUCGUUAUUUGCGGUGCCUCCUAAAGUCUUGAUGUCCAUGCCACGCGAACGCACCAUGGAUCCCAUGUGGGUAGCUCGUGCAAGGUUCAGCACCCACAUGUCGAGCUUCGGGGAUAUCCCAUGACGGUCAUGCCCACAUCCACCUUCGAUAGACGACCACUUCCACGAUGCGGCCCGUGGACGUGACUCGUUAGCCGGUGUAUCCACAGAAGCACGCCACGUGAGCCUGACAUGUGGGUUCAACUUGUCAGUUUCGCCAUUUUUUGCGAGCAUAUCACACAACUAGUGCUCUUCAUUAGUUUUUAGGUGUAAAGUUGAUGGUUUCCCGUGUCCUGCAUGAAACGUGGCACUAAGUUUUUACCUUAACCCUAGAUUACCUCGGUGGUGUGCGUAGCUGAAUGUGUGAAACCGAUACCCACGCCAGAGACUAGUAGAGACAAAUCCGCAUGUGUUUUGUCUUGCAGGACCGAGAUGGAGAUUNNNNNNNNNNNNNNNNNNNNNNNNNNNNNNNNNNNNNNNNNNNNNNNNNNNNNNNNNNNNNNNNNNNNNNNNNNNNNNNNNNNNNNNNNNNNNNNNNNNNAAAAAACACUGUCAACAGGGACGAUUCGUAGGGGGGGGGGGGCCUACCCCCCCCCCCCCCUUAAUAAAAUUGAUUUUUCUACUAUGAUAGUGGUUGUUGUAGAAAAAAAAAUUCACUUCAUAUGAAUUUUGCUCCCUUCAUGAAYAACSCCCCCCCCCCCAACAAAUUGAUUUUUCUACUAUAAUAGUGGUUGUUGUUAGCAAAAAAAAUUCACUUCAUAUGAACUUAGCCCCCUUCAUGAACAAACCCCCCCCCCCCCUCCCCAUGCUUGCAUGCUGGCUCCGUCCCUAAUUGUCAGGUAUAUCCCACACAAGAGACCUAGACUUUCAUCCUAGAACUUGGGACCGGGUGCUCGUCUAACUCCACAUAUGUGUUGCCGUCAUCAUUUUUGCAAUCUCAGUAGCUCCAUGCGAUGUGAAUUGCCACCACUGCACAAAUCAUUCCUUUGUGCAAAGCCGUUGUCCAGAGUUAUAAACACAUACUCCCUCCGUUCMUAAAUAUAAGUCUUUUAAGAGAUUUCAUUAGGGGUCUACAUACAAAAUAAAAUGAGUGAAUCUAUAGUCUAAAGUAUGNNNNNNNNNNNNNNNNNNNNNNNNNNNNNNNNNNNNNNNNNNNNNNNNNNNNNNNNNNNNNNNNNNNNNNNNNNNNNNNNNNNNNNNNNNNNNNNNNNNNAUUAUACUUGUUUAGGUUUUAGUCUGAUUAAACAAUAUGUUUAGAAGAAUAUAAAAGUUUGAUAUAAAAUUUAUUAAUAUGUUUAGAAGAAUAUGAAAGUUUGAUAUAAAAUUUAUUUAUUUUCGACUUCGCCCCGUGGCCCAAAAUUUGCUUGGACUGGCUCUGUCUCCUUCCCCAUUCCAAUUUCGCUUACAUUCUGGUGGUUGACCAGCGACCCAUGUCAGAUUUGCACUUACGGGAAAUGGGCAUACACUCUGAUUGACCAGCAACCCAUGUGAGAUUUGCACUUAUCAUUGAGAAAUGGCGAUAGGGUUAUAUGUGGGAAUAUAGGAAUUCGUUCGUUGGUUGUAUGUUUUGAGUAUAUGGAUUCGUUAGUUGUAUGUUAGUAAUUACAAUCAGCUAGAGUAACUUGCACAAGGGGAAGGGUAUGAGGAAGCGAGGACCAUGUAUAAUCACUAUCAGUUUCCUUGUAUUUGGAAUCCUUCUGUUCACUACUGUUAUUGUCUUUUGUUUCGUUACAAGGCAACGCCCCAUGUCCUUCCUCAACUGAAUUGUCAAAAAUCACUGGUUUGUUGUAGGUGAGAUAACCGGCAUCGCCAAUGAGUGCUUUAUGAAUGUAUACCCUUUCCGUCGUGAACUAGGGCCAAUGGUUAUCCUGUGGAAGGUAUGUUUAUGUACCAUCACAUGUUAUGCGUCUUUUGAUAAUUCAGUGUUUAAUGUGAUAAUCAAUUUUAUCGUGAUUUGGUUGUAAACAGUCUGGGGUCCCUGAGGAGAGCAACACCAUGUUUAAACUAAAGGUUGGCCUAAUUGGUAAGAAUUGAAUUGCUUAGUUAAAAUAUAUGUUAUUGCUAGUUACAGAUGCUAAUUGGUAACAUUAUCUAACCUGUUUCUGUUUUCAAGGUUUUGGAUCGAUAGGGAGACAAAUAGCCGAGGCAUUAGUCGAUAUCAAGGACGUUGAUUUGAUUACAAUCUGUGACGAGCUUAAAACAAGUGAUAUGGUAAUAGAGAAACUACAUUAUUAAGUUCUUACGUCUCUUUGUUCUAGUGUUCCAUGUCUUUUCCUUCCAGCGUUCUCAUUUGUUCCCACAGAUCCACCGUGGCUAGAGUUAUGCAAAAUCAUUUAGCAUGCAGUAGUUUAAGGGAAAAUAGGAGGAAAUCUCAAUUCAGAUGAAAGAAAACAAAACAGAUAAACUACAAGUGUAAAACUAACUCUUGCACAAGCACCAACUAGUGAUCAUUGAUUGUGGAACCCAUCAUUUAUCAUAAACAUUAUUUUAAUGCAAAUCUGUGAAACUGAAGCUCAGCAAGUCAUUAUAUUUGUGCAGGUUACUGCUUGAAAGAGCAGCAAGUUCAGCUUGAGGGGCUCUGGUGGAAAGUCGCUCAUGUUCCUGAAGAAAGCUGCUGACAUUGUCAAUGAGGAUGGCAUUCUGGUCUCAGUUAUCAUUCCCAGGUAACUGUCUUCUGUACUUGGCUGUAAUUACACCUGGGAUUGUUUUUUUUCGAAACGGAGGCAAUCCGUUUAAAAAAAUGUUUGUAAGUGUGUGCUGUACUUGGCUGUAAUUUUACCUGGGAUUAUCAAAUUUGUUUGUAACUGUCUGCUGUACUUGGCUUUUUUUGGAACCAGGGAACAUGAGAAAACCCCUUGGGGCUAUCUUCCGGUGAAUUACGUCAUUGACAUGCUAAGUCUCUCCUCCGAGGACAAGUCUGUUGCGUACUCAUCGCAUGACCAAAUUGAUCCACCUAAUGUGGCAGAAACGACACUGAUUUGCCAAAGCAGCUGCAUAGUACUGUCUACACCAUGAUGUAUUGUGACGAGGGAGUUCCAAGUAGUGGCUUUAAUCCAUCAAUGAAAUACAUCAAGUUUAGCAUCAGUGAUAACGAUUGUAAGAAGGUAGGGUAUUUCCAACUUCUCUUUUCCUUGAAAUUUAUUUGUUGUUUCCGAGGUUCAGAACUAAUGCUUGUUUCUGCAAGUUUGUGAAAAAUUUGAACUUCACAUUUCUUAAAGAUUUACAGAUGUGGAACAUAAUAUUUGUGUAUACGAGUUUCUGCUGUCCACCCUGAUGAGAGCUGGUUCGUGACAUGGUGAUAAUUUCAUGCUUGCUCUUCAUUUGAUUGGUGUGACAUCAUGAUAUAUUUUGCUCCAGUUAUUGUUUUUGUUGUGUUGCUGUACUGUGCGCAUAUACAGCAUUGCACUCCAUCUAGUUAUAUAGUCAUGAAAAUUGUUUGUAUUUCAGUACACUCCAAUGGUAAUGGUACAAGCUCACUUUUUACUAUGUAGGUUUGCUUUAUUUUGCUUUUACAUGCUGCCCAUUCUAAGUUUUAGGUCUUUAGAUAAAUGUAUGCAAGUUUUAAUCAGUGGAUUUGUUCUCAAGUGUAGAUUUUGAUAGCAAAAUUUGUCUGGGUGAUGAGAUGUGUUAAUUUGCGCAGUUUGUUGUUGAAAACAUGCCUGAAUGGAGAUCUUCAUCUGCAAAUAUUUGCUUCUAUGAUCACUGUGAUCCUACAAAUAGGCUAUGUGACCCCCUGACGGAGCUUCAUGUGAGGUAAGUUCUUGCAUCAGUUACCCGAGGAUGCUUUAUUUGCAGUCCAACAUUUUAAAUAAAAAACUACCCUAUUUGCAUGAGCACCCUACUCAUAUUUUUUUUAUUUGUUACUGUUUGAAAUUUAAAGCUGAGAACAUGCAAGUUUGCAUUAGUUUUCCGUGAUAACGAGGAGGAAGCUGAACACAGAGAAGGAGUCCGUCUAAUUUCUGUGCUGAGCUGCUGUAUUCGGAUUCUAAAGGGUGUAGCGGUUGGAGGCAUAUUCUUGAUGUUCUAGAGGCGUAUGCCAAUCGGGGGCUUCUGCGUUCAAAUAUAAUGUCGCUUCCACUCACUUCAGCUUAACGACGUAACACCUUGACACAGACGCCAGCAGUCCGCUGGAUACGUCGAACUAUUGCCCUGCCCUGUCGAGGCAUGUAAUGUUUCUCGGAUCAAACGGACGAACAGAAGAGAUGCUAGGAAGCGGACGUGUGUUUGUGUGAAAUGAACAAACGAAGAACAGAGCUGGAUGAUCACGUAUAGUACACUGCCAUUCCAUGGUUGUAGUCACGUACGUAUAGUUCUUUUCACGUAUAGUUGUAUUCCAAAUCUCACUGCCCUGAUGUGGAUAUAGAACCAAAUCUCAUGUUGGUCCUGAGUAAUCUCGUGGUGUUCUUGAGUAAUCCAACUAGGAUCGUAACUACAGUUGGCAUCUCACAGCUUUAAUCCUCAUUUACCAUUUCCUCUGCUGGUAAAAAUCCAAUUGAUUGCAUGAUCCCUAAAAUCUAUGGCAAAAGGUGUGAAAUCGCCACGCAAGGUUCUUUGGAACACACCUUAGCUCGGGUUGGAUCACGGUUGUGCCAAAUUGUUGCUCACUAUGUGUUCAACGAGAUGGCUCAGAGUGACCAGAUGAAGACAGUGCUUGAAUUACUGACGUGGAUCUAAGAGGAUGUCGCCACGAAACAAUGAGAAGCUUGAUUGAAACUUGGCAAACCUUGAUCCUCUUUAGAAGGAGUUGUAGUCGGUGCGCAAGGCCCUUAAGGAUUGGAAGCCGGACGUGGAUCAACACACAUCACUCAGUUGCAUCUUAGGGUGUCCUUCUACGGAUCUGAGCAAGACAUCUCGUCAUACGGAGAACAUCGCCGGCUCCGAUGAAGAAUCGCCAUUGACUCGGACUGCAUCGGCAAAGUAUGUGCCACCGCACGAGAUCGAACAUGUAAGCCAAAUUGGCUGCCGUGAAGAAUCGACUACACGGGGCCAGCCUGGUGUUGCCAUCAUGGUGUUGCCUUCGGCCAUUGAUACGAUGCCGACCCCUCAUACCCCUCCUUCUGUAACUGAGAAGUAUUCUCCUUUGCCAUCGACUCGGACUGCAUCGACAAAGUAUGUGCCACCGCAUGAGAUCGGACAUGUAAGCCAAAUUGGGUGCCGUGACGAAUCGACUGCAUGGGGCCAGCCUGGUGUUGCCUUCAGCCAUUGAUACGAUGCCGACCCCUCAUACCCCUCCUCCUGUAACUAAGAAGUAUUCUCCUNNNNNNNNNNNNNNNNNNNNNNNNNNNNNNNNNNNNNNNNNNNNNNNNNNNNNNNNNNNNNNNNNNNNNNNNNNNNNNNNNNNNNNNNNNNNNNNNNNNNGCCGGUGGGGACGCGGUAGCCCGGUGGACAAGGGUAGUUCGAGGCGCAAAGCUCCUCCACCUGCUGGUAGGUUAGAGUGGGUGCGGUGGAAGCCAUGAGAGAGUGAUGAGAGAUUGUAGAGAUGUGAUAAUGCUGGCCAAGCCGGGCUACAUAUAUGUAGUGAGAAAUGGCGGGAAAAAUGGGAGCGGGAAGACAGGAGGCGGGAAGAAAGAGGCGGGAAGACAGGGAAGAAAUGGCGGGAAGAAGAGGAAUCCAGAGCUGGUCAUCUAACCUUUAGUCCCGGCUGGUUGGUGCAUUUUGAAUUGAAUUAGUUUUAUUUUUCUUAAUUUUUUGAUAUAUUAUUUGUAUUUUUAACAUUUUGAAUUGAAUUAGUUUUAUUUUUCUUAAUUUUUUGAUAUAAUUUUUGUGUUUUUAACAUAUUGAAUUGAAUUAGUUUUAUUUUUCUGAAUUUUUUGAUAUAUUAUUUGUAUUUUUAAGAUAUUGAAAAAGAAAAGUAUUUUGAAAAAUACCUUNNNNNNNNNNNNNNNNNNNNNNNNNNNNNNNNNNNNNNNNNNNNNNNNNNNNNNNNNNNNNNNNNNNNNNNNNNNNNNNNNNNNNNNNNNNNNNNNNNNNGAAUCUGAGAUAACUCCUGAGCCUGCCAUUCCUAUGGAAUACUAUGAACAAACACAUGAUGAAAAUCCUGAGGAGGAUGAGGAGGAAGCCCGUGGUAGGGGCAAGAGACAAAGGACUGCAAAGACCUUUGGUGAUGAUUUCUUCGUAUACCUCGUGGAUGAUAAUCCCUCUUCUAUUUCACAAGCGUAUGCUUCUCCAGAUGCUGAUUAUUGGAAAGCUGCGGUCCGUAGCGAGAUGGAUUCCAUCAUGGCUAACGGGACAUGGGAAAUCACUGAUCGUCCCUAUGGUUGCAAACCAUUGGGAUGCAAGUGGGUGUUCAAAAAGAAGCUUAGGCCGGAUGGUACGAUUGAAAAGUACAAGGCUAGGCUUGUGGCCAAGGGCUAUGCCCAGAAAGAAGAGGAAGAUUUCUUCGAUACUUAUUCACCUGUGGCUAGACUGACCACCAUUCGAGGACUACUCUCAUUGGCGGCCUCUCAUGGUCUUCUCGUUCAUCAAAUGGACGUUAAGACGGCUUUCCUGAAUGGAGAGCUAAAUGAGGAAAUCUAUAUGCAACAGCUAGAUGGCUUUGUGAUAGAAGGUCAGGAAGGAAAGGUGUGUAAGUUGCUNNNNNNNNNNACUUUCUUUAAUGGAGAGCUAAAUGAGUUAAUCUAUAUGCAACAGCCAGAUGGCUUUGUGAUAGAAGGUCAGGAAGGAAAGGUGUGUAAGUUGCUGAAAUCUUUAUAUGGUCUGAGACAAGCACCUAAGCAAUGGCAUGAGAAGAUUAAUAAUACUCUGACAUCUGUUGGCUUCGUUGUUAAUGAAGCUGACAAAUGUGUAUAGUAUCGCCAUGGUGGGGGCGAAGGAGUUAUAUUGUGCUUGUAUGUUGAUNNNNNNNNNNNNNNNNNNNNNNNNNNNNNNNNNNNNNNNNNNNNNNNNNNNNNNNNNNNNNNNNNNNNNNNNNNNNNNNNNNNNNNNNNNNNNNNNNNNNUGGGAUUCCCAUCCGUACUUGAAGGGUAUAGUGAUGCAAAUUGGAUCUCCGAUUCUAAUGAGAUGAAGGCUACCACUGGGUAUAUGUUUACUCUUGGGGGUGNNNNNNNNNNGAAGAGAAGGUGCCCUCGCGCACUCCUCCUCCGUCGCCCGCCUCGCCACGCCACGCCUCGUCACAACGCGCCGCGUGUUGUGGGAAUGAGCCGAGCCGAGCUCAUAUCUGCGCGCUUAUUUUUGCCGGUCAGGAACGGAGAAUACGUAACGGACAAGGCACGAUCCGAGACGUUGGAUCGUGGCUGUUACCGACUCGGACAUGGGCUUGGCCCACGUCUCUCCACCCAGCCGCCUUUAUAAGCACGCGAUCGCCUACCCUAGCCGUCACGAGAAUCAGAUCACAUCUGUCUCACGCGUUCGUUCCUUCAACUGCCGCCGGCGACUCCGUCCCGUUUACCGCGUACAUGGUCGACGGGAGAGCAGGCCCCGAAACCUCGCCUCUCCGGUUCCUGUACGGGAGAGGGGCGAUUAGGUUUUUGGGGAGCGAUCACGCGACUUCUCGCCUCCGUCCGUCUGCUUCGUCUACGUCCGCGUCGCCUUCGUCAUNNNNNNNNNNNNNNNNNNNNNNNNNNNNNNNNNNNNNNNNNNNNNNNNNNNNNNNNNNNNNNNNNNNNNNNNNNNNNNNNNNNNNNNNNNNCACCACUGCUGCUGCUACGGCCAACUGGCCGAUUGGAGGGUAUGACUCGUUUAUCNNNNNNNNNNGUGCUGUUUCCUCGAAGUCUUGCAAGCAAACGAUCUUAACAAGAUCGACAUUGGAAGCAGAAUUAACAGCAUUAGACACAUCUGGUGUCGAAGCAGAAUUUCUUCGAGAUCUUUUGAUGGACUUACCUGUGGUUGAGAAGCGAUAAUCAGACGGUUAUUGUUAAAGUGAAGAGUUCAAAGGACAAUAUGAAGUCCAACAAANNNNNNNNNNCGGUUCCGGCUAUCCUUAUGAACUGCGAUAAUCAGACAGUUAUUGUUAAAGUGAAGAGUUCAAAGGACAAUAUGAAGUCCAACAAACAUAUAAGGAGAUUGAAGUCUGUCAGACGUUUGAGAAACUCCGGAGUGAUAGCGUUGGAUUAUAUCCAAACGGCUAAGAAUCUGGCAGAUCCCUUUACUAAAGGGCUAUCAUGUGUUGUGAUAGAUAGUGCAUCGAGGGAGAUGGGUAUGAGACCCACAUGAGUUGCCAUGGUAGUAACCCAACCUAUAUGAUCGGAGAUCCCGUGAAGUAGGACCUGGGAAAACAAGCCAGUGGUGAACUGAGGAGAGUAACUUUACUAACCCACUCCGUUGGAGAUGCAAUACUCUCGGAUACUGUAUGGUAGGAUGACUACUGUCUUAAUGUGUUCUAAAGCUUAUAUGUAAGCAAGAUGCUGUCCUACAUAGCGAUCUUUGGAGGAACACACCUAUAUGAGCUUGACUGCUGGUCACAGUCUAUGAGGUUUGGGUGAUCUCUAGUAAACUCAUGAAUAGGCCAGNNNNNNNNNNAGUCUUAAUGUGUUCUAAAGCUUAUAUGUAAGCAAGAUGAUGUCCUACAGAGCGAUCUUUGGAGGAACACACCUAUAUGAUCUUGGCUGCUGGUCACAGUCUAUGAGGUUUGGGUGAUCUCUUGUAAACUCAUGAAUAGGCCAGGAGUGUGACUAAUAUGCUCCAUCCGAGGGGUCACCUUCGGCAGUCUAGUACUAGUAAGACUUGUGGUGAAGCUCCUUUACGCCAAACUGACAAUUCAAGGCAUAGUCCAUUGUUCAGUUGUAAAGGGGUGUAGCUACUUGUUCUAGGUGAAGCUCAACCUUAAUAGGUAUUCACUGAAAUGCUGGUAUAUUAAAACAGUCAUUGGAACGAGGGAACACGAUGUGCCCUUGAGAUCUGGUGGGGGAUUGUUGAAAUUUGGAGGUGGGCUUUAGGCCCAUUAGAGAAUUUCAGAAANNNNNNNNNNNNNNNNNNNNNNNNNNNNNNNNNNNNNNNNNNNNNNNNNNNNNNNNNNNNNNNNNNNNNNNNNNNNNNNNNNNNNNNNNNNNNNNNNNNNNNNNNNNNNNNNNNNNNNNNNNNNNNNNNNNNNNNNNNNNNNNNNNNNNNNNNNNNNNNNNNNNNNNNNNNNNNNNNNNNNNNNNNNNNNNUAAGAGAAGGUGCCCUCGCGCACUCCUCCUCCGCCGCCCGCCUCGCCACGCCACGCCUCGUCCCGACGCGCCGCGCCGCGCCGCGUGUUGCGGGAAUGAGCCGAGCCGAGCUCAUAUCUACGCGCUUAUUUUUGCCGGUCAGGAACACAGAAUACGUAACGGACAAGGCACGAUCCAAGACGUCGGAUCGUGGCUGUUACCGACUCGGACGUGGGCUUGGCCCACGUCUCUCCACCCAGCCGCCUUUAUAAGCACGCGAUCGCCUACCCUAGCCGUCACGAGAAUCAGAUCACAUCUGUCUCACGCGUUCGUUCCUUCAAGUGCUGCUGCCGCCGGCGACUCCAUCCUGUUUACCGCGUACACGGUCGACGGGAGAGGAGGCCUCCGAAACCUCGCCUCUCCGGUUCCUGUACGGGAGAGGGGCGAUUAGGUNNNNNNNNNNUCUGCUGCCGCCGGCGACUCCGUCUCGUUUACCGCGUACACGGUCGACGGGAGAGCAGGCCUCCGAAACCUCGCCUCUCCGGUUCCUGUACGAGAGAGGGGCGAUUAGGUUUUUGGGGAGCGAUCACGCGACUGCUCGCCUCCGUCCGUCUGCUUCGUCUACGUCCGCGUCGCCUUCGUCAUCGCCAUGUCUUCACCAAGCGAAGCUGACCGUCUCCGCGAGAAGGCCGAAGCCGAGAAGAAGGCGGCAGAGGAUACUGCCGCNNNNNNNNNNUGCCAUGUCUUCACCAAGCGAAGCGGACCGUCUCCGCGAGAAGGCCGAAGCCGAGAAGAAGGCGGCAGUGGAUACUGCCGCCGCCACCGCUGCUGCUACGGCCAACUGGCCGAUUGGAGGGUAUGACUCGUUUAUCCUCAUGUUCGUGUUUAUCCUAGCAGUGCUACUUGUCUGCAUAGAUGUAUCCACUAUAUGCGUAGUAUGUGCUAGGUUAGCUCAAGAUCAGUAUAUCAUUAGUCUAGUCAAUGCCAUGCUAGUUAUUAUCUCGUGGAUUAAUAUCCUCGGAAAAUUGCCUAUUUACUCAACAAUCCAAAAACCUAAUGUCUGUAGGAAUUUUUCGAGUAAUGAUUUUGCUGCUGCACUGAAACCGGAUAAGUUUACCGGUACUUUUUUCAAGCGUUGGCAAACGAGAACCACCUUAUGGCUCACGGCUAUGAACGUGUUCUGGGUAGCCGGUGUCACUCCUACGGAAACUAUCACUCCUGAACAGGAGAAGAUNNNNNNNNNNUGUUGGCAAACGAGAACCACCUUAUGGCUCACGGCUAUGAACAUGUUCUGGGAAGCCGGUGUCACUCCUACGGAAACUAUCACUCCUGAACAGGAGAAGAUNNNNNNNNNNACAUGCUAGUUAUUAUCUUGUGGAUUAAUAUACUCGGAAAAUUGCUUAUUUACUCAACAAUCCAAAAACCUAAUGUCUGUAGGAAUUUUUUGAGUAAUGGUUUUGCUGCUGCACUGAAACCGGAUAAGUUUACCGGUACUUUUUUCAAGCAUUGGCAAACGAGAACCACCUUAUGGCUCACGACUAUGAACGUGUUCUGGGUAGCCGGUGUCAGUCCUACGGAAACUAUCACUCCUGAACAGGAGAAGAUGUUUAAGGAGGCCACCGUCCUAUUCCUUGGAGCAGUCAUUAGCGUGAUCGGAGAUAAGCUGGUUGAUGCAUAUUUAGAUAUGCAUGUUGCCAAGGACUUGUGGGAGGCGCUCGACUCUAAAUUCGGGGCCACCGAUGCUGGGAGUGAGAUGUAUGUUAUGGAGCAGUUCCACGAUUACAAAAUGGUUGACAACCGUUCUGUAUUGGAACAAGCUCAUGAGAUAAUAUGCAUAGCUAAGGAACUUGAGGUUCUUAAGUGCAAUUUGUCGGGCAAGUUUGUCGCGGGCUGUAUAAUUGCUAAGCUCCCUAAUUCCUGGAGGAACUUUGCUACUACUCUGAAACAUCAGAGGCGUGAGUUCUCAGUAGAGGACAUCAUCGGCCAUCUGAGUAUUGAGCAGAACUCGAGAGCAAAGGACUCCAAUGGAAAAGCGGUGGAAAGCUCUUCUGCUGCCAAUAUGGUACAUCAGAGGAACUUCAAUUCUGACAAGCCCAAGGGAAAGAAUUCUGACCAACAGAAUACCGACUUCAAGAAGAAGGGANNNNNNNNNNUCUGCCAAUAUGGUACAUCAGAGGAACUUCAAUUCUCACAAGCCCAAGAGAAAGAAUUUUGUCCAACAGAAUACCGACUUCAAGAAGAAGGGAAAGAAGCCCUUCAAGAAGAAUAAGAAGGGAGAUGGCUGCUAUACUUGUGGUUCAGAGGAACAUUGGGCGAACAAAUGCCCAAACAAGUACAAGAAGCCGGCGCAGGACUCCAAGUCUGCCAACAUGAUUGUGGGCAACAAUGAAAGUGGUGCAUCUGGGUACGGUAAUUUACUUACUGUAUUUACAGUUUGUUAGUCCACCGAUUGGUGGGUGGACACGGGUGCAAAUAUUCAUGUGUGUGCUGACUUAUCAUUGUUCUCUUCUUAUCAGGCCACCGGUCGCGGGUCCGUAUUGAUGGGGAAUAGAGCGAGUGCUUCUGUUCUUGGUGUUGGCACGGUCGAUCUGAAGUUUACUUCGGGAAGGAUCGUGCAGCUGAAGAACGUGCAGCNNNNNNNNNNGGCGCGAGUGCUUCUGUUCUUGGUGUUGGGACGGUCAAUCUGAAGUUUACUUCGGGAAGGAUCGUGCAGCUGAAGAACGUGCAGCAUGUCCCCGCCAUCAAGAAGAAUCUCGUUAGUGGCUCCCUUCUGUGUAGAGAAGGGUUUAAGUUGGUAUUCGAGUCUAAUAAAGUAGUAGUUACGAAAUAUGGACUUUUCGUUGGAAAAGGUUAUGAAUGCGGAUGUCUGUUCCGCCUUUCUCUUGCAUAUUUUUGUAAUAAAGUCGUGAACAAUAUUCAUUCGAGUGCUAAUGAAUCUGAAGUUUGGCAUUCACGUCUUUGUCACAUAAGUUUCGGNNNNNNNNNNNNNNNNNNNNNNNNNNNNNNNNNNNNNNNNNNNNNNNNNNNNNNNNNNNNNNNNNNNNNNNNNNNNNNNNNNNNNNNNNNNNNNNNNNNNGUCAGUAUCCGUAUACCUAUUUCAAUCUCGUUUACUGGCAAGUCUCUUUACUCGUUCCGUAAUACAAGAUCCCGCAACUUACACUAAGUUACAUUGCUUGCAAGGCUUGUGUGUGAUGUUGUAUUACCGAGUGGGCCCCGAGAUACCUCUCCGUUCACACGGAGUGACAAAUCCCAGUCUUGAUCCAUACUAACUCAACUAACACCUUCGGAGAUACCUGUAGAGCAUCUUUAUAGUCACCCAGUUACGUUGCGACGUUUGAUACACACAAAGCAUUCCUCCGGUGUCAGUGAGUUAUAUGAUCUCAUGGUCAUAGGAAUAAAUACUUGACACGCAGAAAACAGUAGCAACAAAAUGACACGAUCAACAUGCUACGUCUAUUAGUUUGGGUCUAGUCCAUCACAUGAUUCUCCUAAUGAUGUGAUCCCGUUAUCAAGUGACAACACUUGCCUAUGGCCAGGAAACCUUGACCAUCUUUGAUUAACGAGCUAGUCAACUAGAGGCUUACUAGGGACAGUGUUUUGUCUAUGUAUCCACACAAGUAUUGUGUUUCCAAUCAAUACAAUUAUAGCAUGGAUAAUAAACGAUUAUCAUGAACUAAGAAAUAUAAUAAUAACUAAUUUAUUAUUGCCUCUAGGGCAUAUUUCCAACAGUCUCCCACUUGCACUAGAGUCAAUAAUCUAGUUCACAUCACCAUGUGAUUCCAACGAAUCCAACACCCAUAUAGUUAUGGGGUCUGAUCAUGUCUUGCUUGUGAGAGAGGUUUUAGUCAACGGUUCUGAAACUUUCAGAUCCGUGCGUUCUUUACAAAUCUUUAUGUCAUCUUAUAGAUGCUGCUACUACGUGCUAUUCGGAAAUGCUCCAAAUAUCCACUCUACUAUAUGAAUCCGUUUCACUACUCAUAGUUAUUCAGAUUAGUGUCAAAGCUUGCAUCGACGUUACCCUUUACGACGAACUCUUUAACCACCUCCAUAAUCGAGAAAAAUUCCUUAGUCCAUUUGUUACUAAGGAUAAAUUUUGACCGCUGCUAGUGAUUCAAACAUGGAUCACUCUCUGUACCUCUCAACAUACUUUGAGUCAAGGCACACUUCAGGUGCGGUACACAGCAUGGCAUACUUUAGAUUCUACGGCUAAGGCAUAGAAGACGACCUUCAUCUAUUCUCUUUAUUAUGCCGUGGUCGGGUUUUGAGUCUUACUCAAAUUCACACCUCACAACGCAACCAAGAACUCCUUCUUUGCUGGUCUAUUUUGAACUCUUUCAAAAACUUGUCAAGGCAUGUAUCUUGUUGAAACUUCUAUUAAGCGCUUUCGAUCUAUCUCCAUAGAUCUUUGAUGCUCAACCUUCAAGUAGCAUAAUCCAGGUACUCCUUUGAAAACUUCUUUCAAACAACCUUGUAUGCUUUACAGAAAUUCUACAUUACUUCUGAUCCACAAUAUGUCAACCACAUAUACCUAUCAGAAAUUCUAUAGUGCUCCCACUCACUUCUUUGGAUUAACUGGUCAACUGACCAGUGGGUCCCGAGCGUCAUAGGCACAAGUUUUAAUAUCGAUUAAAUAUUGAUUUAUCAGAUUAAUUUAAUGAGGGACCCACGUGGCAUUCUCUCAUUAUUCUAAUUAAUUAAUUUAACUAAUAUAUCUAUUUAACUAAUUCAUUAACUCAUUAAUUAAUUAUUAUAUCUAUUUAUUUAUUUAUAAAAACAUAUAUUUUUAUUAUUUUUAUUAACUAUCGCGUGGGGCCUCCCUGUCAUAGACAGCGGGUGCAUUGGCCCCACCGGUAAGUGACCCUAGGCCAAAAACACAUUUUUAAUCACAAAUACAUAACCAUACAAAUGUCGUAUUUCUCCACAUGCCUAUAUACGCAAAUACAUACAUAAAUAUGGGUAUCAAAUACAUACAUACACACAUACAUACGGAAUACAACAUUUGUUUUUUUUUUCUCUCAAAACUCUCAUCUCCCUCUCUCUGUUAAUAAAUAUAACAGAGAGGUUCUUUGCUAACUCCACAUAGAAGAACCAAAUGUUCAAUCCUUCCUACCGGAGUCUACCAUCGACGGAUCGAAGCCUCGUUUGCCGGAACGGAACCGGGGCGGUGAGGGGAACGCGACGGUGGGAGGAGCCCGAGGAGGGGCUCACCGACGUUGACGGGAGGGGCCGGUGAAGCCGGAGUUCGCGGGAAGGGGCGGAGGAGACGGCGUGGAGGCGUUCCUGGAGGCGGUGAUGAUGAUGCCGGUGAGGACGGUGGUGAUGGUGGUGACGCGCCGGCGAGGGCCUCCCGGAGCCGUGGUGGUGGUGGUUGCCGGAGUUGGUGAAGGGGCCGGCCGAUGGUGGUCCGGGGGAUUGUCGACCGAGGUGUGGGGGCUCGGGUUGGGGUCGAGAGGGGCCGGCCGACGGGAUGGGGAGGGCCCCGGCCGCCGGAUCUGGAGGGGUGGUGGUCGGCUCUAGGGGAGAGGCGAGGGAGGCCGGCGGUGGAGAGGUGCUGGCCGGCGUGGUGGAGGGCCGAGGGACUCGCCGGUUCGGUGGGAUGGGGGAGGGGCUUCGGGUGGACGAGGAGGUGGCCGAGGUGGGGAGGGAGCGGUGUAACGAGAGGAGAGGUUCCUCUCAUGGGGGGAAGAUCUGGUGGGGAGGAGAGGGAGUUGCGAGGUGAGAGGAGGGUUCCUCUCGUGGGCUGGGUGGGGGCUCGGUGUGGAGGGGUUUGGUGGGGAGGGAACCGACAGGCAGGGGAGGGAUCGGUGGGGGUGGGGCCUCCAGCGAUGGGAAAGGUGGGUGGCGGCGGCCGAGGGGGGGGGCUGACGAGGGAGGGAGGGGUCUCGCGAGGGGGUGGGGAGCGAGGGUCUCGCCAGGGGGAGUGCUAGGGUUCCUAGCGGGACUGAUGGGUGGCCUGGCCGGCUGGGCCACUAGGCCCAGUUGGGCCAAGUGGGGGGGGGUUCGGUUGUUUGCCUUUUUUUUAUCAUUUGUUUUUCUUUCUUUUACUUUCUGACAUUCUAUCAUUAUUAUUUUCUUAUAUAUUUAUAUCUUUCUGUUCUAACCAUAUAGGACUUUUAAUACAAUUAAAAAUGUCCGAUUCGUUUUUAUAACAUAUUAGAGAAUUUCAACAACUCUCCCGACAUUUUUACUUAACACCACGAAACGUUUCUCGUUCGACUUUAUUCGUAAAUUUCGAACUCGACUGGUUUUUCGACUAACACGAGAUCCACAAUAGAAUUUAUGAUGACGUGGCUUCACUAGCGUGGGAUUACUGUCGCUUGACUACAGGAGUUACUGUAGCACCAAUCCGAGGAUGUCACAACUUGGGACGUGAAAAUGAACUCUUAUAGUCGAAUUCCACGGUUUCACUCGGAGGAGCAUUGCGAACUUGUUCCAAGCAAGUUGUCCAACGGCUACAAGUCGGCUUGAUCACAUCCCAAUGACCUUGGAGUGACCGAAAGGUCCAUGUUGUCCUAUUGGGAUACUUGGCCAUGAAUUGGAAGUACUGAUCUUCGAUUCUUUGCUAAUACGUCUUGAUGGUUUGAGACACACUCGUGCAAGCAUCCAUAGACACCGUACUCCAAGCCUUGAUCAAGAUUUGAUCUUCCAAGAUCAUGUAGUUCUUUGAUCUCAUGCUUAUUUUGCUUGCGAUUGCUGAUACGUCCGCUCAUCUACCUCCUCCACUUCAUCUUCACCACCGUGGUCAUCCACGCCACCCUCCAAUUCAUAGUAAUCAAAACCAGCGAUCCAGGCUUGAUCGAUGUCGAUGAUGUUGGUGUCCAACAAGUUUAUGAACUCGGCCUUGACAUUGUUCGAACCACCGCUACAUUGAGUGACAUCACGUCACGAGCUACCACAAUGGCGAAAAAUCGAAGCAAGAAUAAGGGAGGGAAGAUGCAUACCUUCUGGCCCUUUCAUCGAACACCUCGCCUGCGAUUGAAGCAGCGCCGUAGAAGGCACCGUCGGGGAACGUCUCGCCGGGGCGGAGGGAGUGGGCGAGGGCUUUUUCGUAGGAACCUUUUUCCACUUCACGCCCGAAACCCGUCUCAUCUUCCCCGCCGAAGGCCGAGCAGAUCGUGCAGCAGGGCGGAGCCCCGCACGAGUUCCUUUCCGGCGGGGCCAGUCGGAAUGCCGCCCUGCACGACAACGUUGCCUUGCCACUUGCGGACAGGCGCGUCGGUGCCUCGGGCGACGAUGGGGGCUACAUGACCGGCGACGAGAUCCGCCGGACGGGAUUGCGCGUGCGUGACCUCCACGUUGACGAGAUCCGCCGACUGGGAGGCUUCCAUGGCGGUGAAGAAUGGCGGGGAAGAUGGUCCGGAGCACGUGGUGGCGGGGUAAUGGUUGCCGAGGAGGGGGAGCGGGGAACGGUCGCGCGAAAAUUUCGGUCGCGCCAAAUCUCGUUGCGGAUAAGGGGCGAGCUUGGGUCGGCCUCCCAUCCCGUGAAUCUGAAGCUUAAGGGCAAAUUUUUACCGUACCCGCAAAAAAAUUAACGGAUUUAACGUGUUUGCGGAGUCUGAUCUAGCAACAUUUUUUAUCUAAUCCGUAUUUUAACGAUUAUUUUACGGAUCGGGGCAUUAGGGAAUGCUCUCACGCCUCCAACACUGACUAAUGUUGCGCACAGAGACUUACGAGGACUGUGUGAGGAUGACUGAGAGUCUCAGACGAUGAGACACUUGAAGAGGUGGGAUCCACGGAACAAAGAGAGUUGGAGAAACAGUGAGCCUGGAGAAGGUACUGUGCUCUGUGCUAGUCCCAGACUCCCGGUGUAUGGUCCUGCCGGUCCCAGCUGUAAGGGUUGGCGUGUGUGUGCGUGGUUAAACGAGGUGGAUAUAAAGAAUUCUGAAUUUCACAUACCCCUUCUGUUAGAGUUGUGUCGAAUAUUAUUGUAUAAGGUAAGUUACAGUUGGACUCUGAGUAGUAUUGUGUUUAGACAGGAUAUAGAGUCGUGUCCUGAUAGGAUCAGGACACUUGUAUCCUAGGCCUCUCAUACAUAGCGGGGGUAGACAUGCAAUGUAAUCUAAGCCAACAUAAUAGCACAGGCACACGGGGGAGCCCACGGCGUGUGCCGGCGCCCAGGCGGCCGGCGUGCGGUAUUGUGACGGUGUCACAGGGAGGAGCGUCCGUAGUCAGGCCCCGGGGAUGUAGGCAUAUCGAUGAACCUCGUUAACAAAUCUCGGUGUCGUGCUCGUGUGAUUGUUUGGUGUCGAUAGAUUGACGAAGUGCCUCGAAUUUAUUCAAAGAAGUGGUAUCAGAAAUAUCGAGUUUGAGAUGCAGCCCGGUGCGGCGUGGUUCUCGACGAGAUUGGAAAAGAGCAAUCAGAAAAGCUUUCGACGAGUUCGUAUAGCAGUUGAUUCGAUCCAGCAGGGGGCGGUAGAUCACGCCACAGGCGCAGCAGCGCUACAGUAUCGGACAGGCCACAUGGUCGUCCGAGAGGGGCCAGGAAGCAGGCCGAGUAGCAGGCGCAGUUGAGUUGGAGGCGUGCGUGUGCGUAGCACAAGGGAGCCGUUGUGCACAAGGCAAGAUGUGUGCGCUGUGCAGAACAAAUUGAAGCAAGCCGGAGAUUUGUUUUGGAAACAAAAAAAGAGGACCGGGUCCUCGUAUACGACGACAUGGACAUGCACAAGGCAGAUCAAUCAAGGGAAAAGAAAUUCAGCAAGGAAUAUGUUUCAUCGGGAAGGCAAGGAUUUGACAGAGUAAUUAGCUAGCUUCGGGAGUUGUGCUAGUGAGCUAUACACGUAAAGACAGGAAGUUGUUUGGGUUGGAAAUUGCUAUCAGUACGCGGAGGCUAGCCGUGUACUCGGGGCAUUGCGCGGAAAGCUCGGUUAAUUUUUCACAGGGUCAGCUGUACAAAGAACCAGGACGCUAACGGAUAUCAGGUUUGAGGUGGAGAAGUUCGAUGGAAUUAAAAACUUUGGGUUAUGGCAGACAUGUGUGAAAGAUUGUAGGCAUAAAAAGAUGUUUGAAGGCGUUGCGGGAAGUCAUGCCGGCUAAGAUGGAAUUAUUAUGUGAUGGAUGGAAAUUCGCGGAAGAUGAUUUGCGAGCCUAGAGUGUGUCGUGCAGUCGGACGAUUUCGGCUGGGUUAGACUAGACAGUCUGACAGAUCGACACGAGUCGGUUGUGCAGAAGACGGCGGUGAUUUCAGCGACGACGACAUAGGAGCGUGAUGCUGAUGGUGGCCAACUUCUGGGGCGUGGAAACAUGUGGUGGAGGUCUGAGGGCUUGUGUGGCUUCGACUAUGAUUGCUUGGUCCUUGGAUGAUCAACGGAGUGCCUCGGAUUUAUUCUAUCAAGUGGUCACCUUCUCUGUUCCCUUCUCUGCUUCGUCUACCUCCCAUUUCCUUCUCCCAUUAUUCCCCAAAUCCGUCUUUGUUCUCCACAAAUACGUAGCAGCAUACCACAGGCCUGUACCCGGAGCCGAUAUAUCCGGCGACGCCAUGGGAUGGGGUGGCCGGAUUUGGACGGCAACGAUGGCAGCGGCGGCGGCCGAUGAGGCAGCUGCGGAUGGGGGAAUGUGAGACAAAUUAUUUGUUCUUUGACUCUGUUCCAGGAUCACCAUUUCCAUCAAGAUGACGUUGAAGGUGUUGCGGUAAAAGCGUCAGCUGCAGCAGCUGGCGAAGCAAGAGUAGGUUGUUGCUUGCCAAACCUUCUGAAGAUUGGCCAGGGUGCUCCAUACUAUGUUGUGUUGAAGGUGCAAGAGAACCGCUAGCGAUUGCACAGACCGGAGAAGAACCCUCGUCUGUUAAUCUUUAGUACUGAUGAAUGUCUAUGUAAUUUUGACACCACAGGCCUGUUUGUAUAGUGAAGAAAAUCCAAAUAUAUCAUUUUUUUUGUUGCAAAGUAGUCUUAUAGAAAUGGAAGAGAUUUGAAUGCGAGUCAUUAUGGUUUAACCUAAAAAUAAUAGGUAAUUAUUUACAUUAGUUACUACCACUACCUGAAGGAUCAAUAUGCAUGUUGGCUUUUGUACCUUUUAGCUGUUGGUAUAUAUCAGCAAACUGCUGUGUUACUGUAAUUUUGUAGAUGGUAUUAGUCAAAUAUGAUGAGCUCAUGGAUCACACAAAUUCAUCACCGACAUUUGGUGGAUCUGAAUCUGGACAUAGGUAUCAUCAGAUGUGUACGCUCUCUUCUUUUAUAUCUUGUUGAUGUUGAUUUAAAUGAAUUUGGCUUUUACAAAUAGAAAAAUCUAAACAAGCACUUUGCAUUAAAUUUCAUUUUUUGAGGGGCAUUGAAUUUCCAAGAUUAGUAGUGACUGACAAAAUAUAGUUCCAUCUUUUCGUUCACCAGAAAAAGUUAAUGGACUCAUGGCCCAAUUGUGUCCAGGACAAUGGAAAGUAAGGCGACACGCUGGCAACCAGAGUGGGAAGCAUUAGGAAUCGCAUAUUCGGAUCUCACAGUGAAAAGUCAGCUGGGUAACAAAUGGGAGCAGCAUACUGUUGCUCUCUGAAUUUUGUUUCUGAAAUACAUAAAACAGGAUCCGUUGUGUUUUUGCUAGCGUUGAAAGUUUUUGAACAAAGAUAAUAACAAAUAAAAUGAUCCUAAAUCCCAAACAACGAAUAAAACAUUGGCUUUUGUAUUCACUGUUCUGUGCUGAAACACAAACGAAUAAAGCGAUUAUUCUAGCAGACAAGCAAUCAAUCCUCACUGAGGUACCUCAAUCUCAACUAAACUAGUACCUCGAAUCUCAACUACACCAUGUUCAAUAAUUGUUGAAUAGCUGUUGGGUAGCUGCUUCUGCAUUUCGCGGAUUCACUAUGACUCUCGAGGGAGCUGGUGCCACAACCGGAAGCAGCACCUCGUUUACUAGAUAGCUUCAGCAUCGUGUUGCAGUGGUUGCAUGCCGCGUACAUAAGUUGCGGAUUUUUUGGUGUAUAUCUUGGUGAAGCUGUCCCAUUGGUCUGCUCUCGGGCCAACCGGACCAUCUAAUGAUGAAAGAAAGAAGGGAUGUCAAUAAUUAUGUGCUUGUAAUAGCUCUCCGCAAGGAAGAAAUCAAUCCGUCUAAGUAAGACCGUGUUGUUACUCUGUAGCGAGUACAGCUUACCGAUGAUGUAGUCUUUCGUGUUGAGAGGGCCCUCGUCUGCGCAUCAUAUAAAUUGACAUGAUCGAUUUAUAUUACGAUAACAUAUAUGAAUUUCUCCGUUCUAUAAUGUAACAGCGUUUUUGACAAUAGUGAGAGUAUAAGAUUUGCAUGAGAAAGAGGAUAAGAAGGUCACUUACCUGUUCCUUUCCUCUUCCUCUUCGGGCCGGCCUUGUUCUUUCCUUCCAGCGGGUAGAUGUGGCAUAAGGACAGAUCCUCCUACAGUGAAAUAGAAGAGGAGUAGUCAAAAUAUAAUUUGAGUUCAAGAGAAGGAGUAGUUAAACAUGUAUAAUUUCAUAAAGAAAACAAUAAUUCCCAAGGUAAGCGUGCUUCUUACCUCCAGAUACAAUCCAGGUCGAUCUUUCAUGGUCCUAAGUAGGUUGUACCGUGUCAUGCCAACAACGGCGUUGGUGCCAUCCGUGGGUUUGAACUCCAUCGUCGUCUUGGUCCCCACGAAUUUAGGGGAGUUGGGGGAAUUACCUUGGGAGGUGUUAGGGAUCGCGAACAUAGUUUCUUUGUGCCACUCCCCGAAACUCGCGUAAGCCGCCUUCCUGAUUUUAUUCGCCGCCGCCUCACGCAGCGAGGCGGUCUCUGUAUCAAACCCCUCCUUCACCCUCGCCUGCCUAAAGAAGUAAAACUUGGAUAGGCCGACGCCGGGGUUGCCCAGCCGGUAAACCUCCAUCUCCUCCUUCCUCAUAUGGGAUAUUGAGGUGAGGUUGGAUACCAACUCCUGGUCGCUAGUCCUAGAAGGAUCGAUGAACUCAUCCAGGGAGUAGAUAUCACCGAAGGAGGAAUUGGGGAAGUAUUUCUCACAAAAGGAUUCAACGCUUUCCAUCGGAGCCUUUGGAUUUCUAUUCAGGAUCAAAGCUUGGGGGGUUAGGAUUGGGGAAGAGGAAGCCGAGGAGGAUGAUUGACUCUGGCGAUGGGGCUGGCCUGUGCUGAAUCCUGAUCUGCUGUGGGAAGCGGGGCCUGAUAUAAAGUAAUAGGGUGAAGAGUCGAAGAGGGUGAGCAGACGUUCGGGUACCCGGCCUACUGGACGUCUCACUCUUAUCUUAUGCCAUUACUAGCUUUGACCGGGCGAGGGUGGCCUCCUCGCGUGUGCUGAUUGUCCUUUUUUUUUGGUAAAUGCUUUGCUUUAACGCGGAGUUCAGGAAUUACAUGUAAAUCAAAGGGUUGUAGGAGCCACAUAUGACGUCUUUCCCCCAAAUGCAAAGCAUGCUUAGCUAAGAGAUGAGCUUCCCUAUUAGACACUCUCCCUUCAUGAACAAAAGAAAUAUGUUGAAAAUUUGAAUUGCCAUCCUUAACUUUGUUCAUUAUUGGGCCUGUCAUUCCAUGUGUGCCCGAGUGACGAGCGUGGCCGGCCACACGCUCGCACACGGACUUUCACAGACUGGACUACAUGCCCGACUCUAAUUGGGCCCCCCAUAUUUUAACUGGUGGGCCUGCCUUGCUUAAUCGAAUCACACGUAAUCAAAUGUUAACCACCCUGUAAUUCCCCUGUAAACGUCCGUGUGUCUUUUUUUUUUUUGAGUGUAAACGUACGUGUGUGUCACCUGCUCGCACCAGGCAUGCCGAAAACGAUCAUACCCGUCCUCCGAUUUUAUUUAUGUGCACAUGUACGACUUCCCUCCGCCCCUACUUCUUUAUUUCAAGAAUUCCAAAAGUAUGCCACUGUUCAAUUCUUUUUUUUGACGGUAUAGCAGACAAUCAUACACAGGUACACUCAUCUUUAUAUACGCGCACACGCAUAUCGAGUUAUCCACGCAAAAAACAUCGCAAUUAGGACUAGGGUAUCAUAUUUGUGUUCAACAACGAAACUGGCUGAUUGGGCCCACCUGUCGGGCUCACAUCGCAUGCUUAUGUGGAUUAUAUGUUGAGUUAGAUGAGAGACCCGUGUGUCAAUGACUCAAGUACUUUUUUUUCACCUUUUCUUUUUUAUAUCAUCCUCUUUUUCUCUAUGGGCAUUUAGCCAAAUAUGUUAAGAACAUCUCCAGCCAUUCGGUCCCUAGUGGCCCGAAAUACCAUCGGCUAGGGAUCCGUCGGCGCAAAAAACGGGUGGGGGGGGGGGGGGGUCGGCGUUCCUAGCCGCCCACCCAAGGGCGCUCCAAGCCGUCGCUUUCGGCCCAGUUUCGACGCAAAUUUGGCCUGUUUUUUACCCAUAUUCGACAUUCUUCGGCACAAAUUAAACAACAAUAGUUAUUUUUUAUCACAUAGUUCAUCAUAGAAAUCAAUACAAACUAAAAAAUAGUUUAACAAGUCAAUACAAAUCAAAAAACGAGCAAGGUGUUGCCCUUCAGCCUUCAUAGGUGCUCCACCAAAUCGUGCUGCAGUUGUUGAUGCACCUGUGGGUCUCGGAUCUCCUAACGCAUGUUGAGGAAGGCAGUCCAGGUUGCCGGUAGCUGGUGAUUAACUUAGGCAAGAGGACCUUGCCUGUAAUAUUGUUCGGUGUCAAACACUGGCUCCUCCUACUCGCUCUCAUUGAUCAUGUUGUGCAAGAUGACACAGCAAGUCAUGAUUUUCCAUAUUUGAUCUUUCGACCAGGUCUGAGUGUGGUACCGGACAACCGCAAAACAAGAUUGAAGCACACCAAAUGCCCGCUCGACAUCCUUCCUGCAAGCUUUUUGAUGCUUGGCAAAAUAGGAGUGCUUGCCUCUUGGUGCAGGAUUUGAGAUAGUCUUCAUAAAUGUGGACCAUCUCGGAUAGAUGCCAUCUGCUAGGUAGUAUCCCUUGUUGUAGUAGUGUCCAUUGACCUCGUAGUUAAACGGAGGAGCAUGACCUUCAACAAGAUUGACAAAGACAUUCGAGCACUGCAUUACGUUGAUGUCAUUGUGAGUUCCUGGCAUACCAAAAAACGAGACAUUUGAGCCUUUUUUUUUGCAGGUAAGCUUCUCUCGAAAUGGGAAGGACCUUAUAUCAUCGAAGAAGUAUAUCGCUCAGGUGCUAUCAAGAUGAACACAUGGUGUACAAUGUUACUCCUGGAGCUGUAAGGAGGAAUAAAAGGGCUCUAGGGUCUGUUCUCUUCCUCCGUAUUUGUGUGUGUGAAUGACUGAUCAAAUGACCAGACCACCUCCUUCGGAGGGCUAUUGGGAGCAUUGUUAAGGAAAUCGGUAGCUGGUAGCUGCUCGAUCGGCUUGGGAGUAGCGAUUAAUCGGUGAAUCGUCCUAUUAACUGGAUUAAUCGAUCGACCAUUAAUCGAUAGAUUAAAUAAGAACAUGUGAACAUAUUCUAGUUUUUUUAUGCAUUAUACCCUACUCUCAUCCUCUCAGCUAUGAGAUAUACCAUAAUAGGCUACUGUUUGAUCAAAUCCUAUCUAUUGAGGAGCUAGAGGAGGAUUGGAGAGGUUACAUGCCAAAAUAUUUGGCCUAUUUGGCCCACGAGUUUGUAGGCCAUUUAAGAUUAAUCGGCCUCACAAUCUAUUAAUCGAUCUAACAUGCCAUUUAAUCAGCUUGACAAGCCAUUUAAUCGGCCCGACAAGUUAACGCGAUGAAUAGGUGUUAUUCGAAUCGGCCACACAAUGAGUAGCGAUUAACUGGCCCAUUAACUGAUUAAUCAGAUGAAUUAUUGAAAGUGACUGGGAGGCAUAUACUUGGGCCUCCCCGGCAAAAUAUGACGGCCCCCUCCUCUAUCGUUUCCGGCCUCCAGUGGGGACCGUCGUUGUGGAGUCCUCUCGACCAUUUGGCACGCCGGUUGUCGGGUCCCAUUGACUGUGGGGGCUGUCGACUGUUCAGUCUUUGUAAUUGCCAACCCCAUCACAGGCCUGAUCAUUUGGAAGAAGUUCUUACGCCUUCUACCGUUGGUCCGAGCAUGGACGGGCUUGGUGGUGGUAACUCCCAGACUGAUCCAAUUCAUACGCGAGCCUCCGGAAAACCCUCUCCCACUCUGAGAAAUAAGGACUUCCCUCAGAAAGGUCGAGACGCAAGAUAAUCUCCUUGGCGGUGCGUGCUUUUUCUUGAUGUAAUUAGAUUAAGAUAAUGGAAAUUAUAAGGGAUUUGUGUGUAUGACUCAUUUACUGCUGAUAACCAUGUGUUCACAUACCCUGACCAAAUCCUGAAUUUAUCUAAUUUUAGUGAUGAAUUUGUCUGUCCAUAAUAACGAGAGCAUAUGAAAGCUGUUCUUGUGAGUUGCUAAUCAUUAGCAACGGGCGCCUUGUACUCCCCAUAACAAAACAAAUCUUUUUUUAGAUGGGAGGGAGGACAAAAAAGGUCAGCUCUCUGGACUCUUUAAGGAAAAAAUCCUGCUGGACUCUCGAGACGGAGGAAUCUGGUCGUCACACUCACAGUACGCCGGGUACCCGCUCCCGGACAACUACUUCCUCUCAAAUGAAACUACUCCUUUGUUCGCUAUCGAAGAGCGGCAGGCCGUCCGAUGAAAUUCCAACGGUGCAGCUACGACUACAAGCUUGGUGUGUCUCCACGUUGAUAGGUGUUGAACAUUUUUCUUCCUAACACAACACAAAUGCAAGUGUUUGUAUACACAUCCAUGCAUUCACCGCUAUGAACGAACACACACCGUACCUCUAUGAACACUCCCACGAAAGACUGAGCCGGCAUAUCGUCUUCAGAUUUUAAAAGUCACCGUAGACUUCUCGUCGUCGACGGAAACACCUCGUUUCGCAUCGUCGAAAAUACUGAAAUAAAUUUAAAAAUAAAUGCCGGACAGGUAAGAAAGCACGGUACGGCUCCACGUUUUCUUUCUUAUUUCGCCAUGCUGUAGACUGUAGAGUACAUAUGAAACGGGCUAUGAUUGUAUGUAGCUGCACGGUUGGAUCUCCAUCGGACGGCAUGCCGCUCGUCUUCGCCAGCGAAAAAAAAGAGUGGGUGUGCGGAGUGGGUACGUACCCGGCGUAUUGUGCGCGUGACGACCAAAUUCCUCCGAAAGCUUUCUCUGCAGAGCGCAAAGAGCUCAGUUAAAAACAAGUCCAUGCUGCUGACCUUUGUUUGCUAUGGUGAGUCCGGGCCACCCGCUCGCACCGGCCACCGGUCAGAAACACAGAGCAGCACCGGGCGCCCGGUGCUAAGGCUUAGCAGCGCACAAUAACAGCUUAAAAAAAACCGGAGGCAAAAGAUUUACCUCAUUUAUUAAUUAAGAAAAAGUUAAGAGUUGCUUUUACAUCCAAAAACAAUAAGAUUAUUGUAGUGAUGAAGGACAGACAAAUUCAGGAUUUGAUCAGGGUUGGUGAACAUGGUUAAGGAGUCUGGAUCUCCACAGUGUAAUAGAAUCCCAGAUACGAGUAAUUUUUAGGAAGAUAACGUGGAAAUUAGCAUAGGCUAUAUGGAGAUAAAAGCGAUGCAAACAGUAGGACAGUGCACGACUGUUUACACCAAGAAAAGUACAAGCUGCAAAUACGAUUAAUAUAGAAACAAUAUUAGUAGUAUUGCCAGUGCAGUAAGAUUUAUUCAACAACAACCACCACAGUUACAGAUUUCUCCGAGGUAUAAGCUCAAGGAUUAUAAGGCGAUACUACAAACAUAAGCUGAAAGAAUAAAAGGGGCAGUGUACCAGACCACUGCUACAGUACAUACAAUCCAACAAGGUAAACUGCACUGCUAACAGUCGACCGAGCACAUCACGCGCAGAACGGAAGUUUAAAGAAGCAGCCGAGGCACCACUCAGCAACGUUCAGCACCGGAUCUUCAUCGUCUCGCGGCUGGGGAUUAGUCACCGGCGCCGGCGCCGGCGCCUCCCCCAUCCUCGCCUUCUUUACGAUGACGAUCAGCAGAGAGUAGAGGAAACAGGCAGCCAGGAACCCGACGACGCCACAGACAAGCCCGUUCUUGGUGACAUGAACGUGGUCUUGGGGCUGAUGAGCUGCUGAGGUGUGUACCGAGGGCCUUGGAAACGCUGUGGCUGCAGGUGGGGGCUCGUGGACUAACGCUGGAGGUGCGUGCGGGCUCCCAUGGAACGGUGCGAACAGGGGUGCUGGCUGUGGAUCGGCGUGUGCUGAGAAGGUUGGAGGCUCUAGAAAUGGUGUGGCGGAGGCCGGCGGCAAAGGACGUCCGGCGACGGCGAUGGCCAUGGUGAGAGACACGGCGACGAAGAUUGGAACAAGGUUUGCCAUGGCUCUGUUUUUCCUACUUGCGCACCUGCUACCAAAGGGUUGCGGAGCUGUACUCCUAUCGGUCACGUUUUAUACAGUAGGAAGGCGGGGGCAUGCAGCUAGCCGGGCACCCGGAGUGCAAUGUUGUCACUCGUCGAAGAGGCAAACGCGUGUCCGUGGUGAAAUAGAAGAACAAAGGUACGGGUACCCGCUUUGUUAUGGUGCCCGCGUCCACGGGGAAGAAAAAUGUACAGGGUACCCGGUCUCACAAACUCUGUUUUCACCUUCUAUACAUUAGGGCAUCCUUAAAUAAAACCCUCAAAUCGCCUGCAAAGUGCAAACGUCCGGAAAAAUGUUAUUCAGAUGUAUUUUGUCAACGUCAUCUCGCAUCGUCCGUGGACUAAUUUAUUCAUCUAUCUUUCUACAAACCGAAAGCAAACAUGAGGUUUUAUGAAAAACCAUUGCCACGUAGUACUCAGACACCCGGCCCACCCAAAACCUCUUCAAAACCCACGUCUCCAUCCCUCUCAUAUUCCUCUACAUCCGCUUCCUCCCUCGCCGACACCGCUGCUCUACCACCCGGCUGCCCGCCAAUCACUACCUUGACAUUCACGGCCUCCACCGCUGCAACCGGUCGCCACACCGCUUGUCCUAGCCGCUGGUCCACACCCCUCGACGUCCGUCGAGCAUGUAGCAUAUGCCCCAUGGAGGUCACCACGCCCAACAAAUGUUUGGUGAAAUGUUCGUGCUAAACUUUUUGUUCCUUAUUUUAUGCAAUGGAUUCAGACAUAAAGUUCAUGCACAAGUAAUAUGUUGAGUCGUCUGAUGAGAAGGAUUAUGCGGAUGAAUCGAAGAUGAUGAAGUCAGUCCCUGCGGACGCAGAGCGUGCGGAAUAUCACGUUCUCAGUUUCAAGGGAGCAAUCAAGGGUCGUCGAAUAUUGGAUCAAAACAGGGGACGUGAGGUUUGAUGUUGUUGGACUACUACUUUGCCCCGAUGCCCCAUUCACGGACAAUUGUUGCCAACGCUCUCGCAUGCCAAAAUAAUAUCCCCGCCCCACUCUACAAUACUAAUGACUACUUCAGGUUGAGGUAGGGUGUUUAUGAAGGAUUGGAUUCUCUAGUUAACAAAAGUGCACGAGUGCAUUGUAGAUGCUUGCAUAUGGCACGACCACAGGUUGAUCGGACGAGUGCAUCCGGAUGUCUGAGAGCACAUGCGGAGUCGCCAUGGUCAGAUUUUCUACUACGGUUGUUAAGGUGUUUGGACCUAAGUACUUGAGAGAACCAACCGCCGCAGACACCGAGAGGAUCUUGGUAAUACCCACACAAUCUGACAUUUUCUAGAUCGUAACUUGCACAUCUACCCAUAGAUCGCUCAUAAUGCCACUGUUAGGAAAUGUAAUAGAAAAAAAAAUUGACUAUAUCGCCGAGAAACGUAAUGCACCCAGCGACUAUCACCCACUCCUCGUCGUCGCUACACCAGCGACUAUAUCGCCAGCUCUUCUCAUCGUUGCACCACCCAACGACUAUAUUGCCCGCCCCGAGGCACUAGUGGGGUCGCCACCCCGGAGCAAGCGCAGCCUCACCUCGACCUUGCUCUGAUACUAAAUGUUGAAACUCGUCCACGGAUCAAUCACAUCAAAUCACGACAACACGCACACAUAAAAUCUUAUAGCCAAGGGCCCUUGUCGUGUCCUAAUUUUUCCUCUUUAGUUUCUCCUUUUUUUCAACUCACGAUAUUGCAAAUCUGAAGACGUGCUCGUGCUCAUAUACACACACGCAGCACCUGACCCAACAUGAAUCGGUGAUGGACUCAAUCACAUAUUCGUACUAGUAUCCAGCCUAGCCUAAGCAAGGUAGGACACGGCACAACUAAUCAGCAAGGAAAACUAUCAUGGACGCUUACACUAUCCUAACUAGCCGGAUACAAUUUCUAAACUUAUACGUGCAUGACCAGUCCUACUAUUACUUGGAUUAGGACACCCAAAACCAUCGUCCAAGAUGUCAACUGCAACAACAACAUGCUCAUAGCUGCACGGUUUGAUCUCCAUGCAUAUGGGACGGCCUGCCGCUCGUCUUGGGUACUCUAAAAGAAGAGCAAGGUGUGCGGGUGCGGGUACCCGGCGUAUUGUGACUUGUGAGUCGUGAGGAACAAAUUCUGACCGGGCACGGAAGCUAUCUUCACGGAGCUGACUCUGUUUGGCGUUCCAUCGAAAAGAGCUUAGUUCCUGAGACAGAGAGCAGUACCGGGCAGCGGCCGGUACUAAUGAUUAGCAGCUCUGGAGAACAAGUUCUGCCUAUUCUAGCGAUUAAGAACAUACAAAUUCACCACUAAAAAUAGUUAAAUUAAGGAUUUGGUUACUGGUUAGCGUUUGUGAACAUGGUUAUGAGCAGUAGUAAACAGGGUCAUGCACACAAAUUCCGUAGUAACUUCCAUCAUCCUAAACGAGUUACACCAAGAAAAAGCACACCUUGUAAACACGGCUAAUACAAGAUCGGUAUUGCUAGUGCGGUACGAAUGUAUCCAACAACAACCACCGUUACAAAUAUCUGCGAGGUAUAAGCACAAUGUUUAAGAUGCGAUGCUACAAAUACAAGCUGAAUAUAUAAAAGGGAUGUCUGGUAAUAUGCCACUGCUACGGUAGAAUACAUACAAUCCAACGACAAAGUUACUGCACGAAGCAGACGAGGCACCACCAAAGCGUCUUCCUCUUGCGGUUGCGGAGCAGUUGCCGUGGCCGGCUCCGUCGUGGGAACGGAAUCUCGAUCGGGCGGCUGCAGCCCGUCUUCGGCAGCGAACAAAAGAUAGGAGCGGGUAACCGGCCGGUUGUGACGUGACGCCCAAAUUUCUCCGAGUCCAGAGCUAGAUGCCUGUUCGGCAUCGCUCCCUGAAGCUGGGCGAGCGGAGCGCACUUAGACCAGCUCCCGGCGCCUAGAUAUCUCUCCUCCGACGCGGAGUCACCGAGCUGCCUAGAUAUUUAUAUCUCCUCCGACGCGGAGUCACGGAACGGAGGGCUAGAUAUCUCCCAGUUUUAAAAGAAAAGGUCGAGAGAGCUGACCAUUGUUUGGCUUCCCAUCUAAAUAAAAAAUACAAAAGCUUUGCCUUGCAACGGGGAGUCGGCGCACCCGUUUGCCAGCAGCUAUCAAAUACUAUCUCCAUCACGUUUUUUUCCUUAGGUUUAAGACGCGUUGCAUUUAUUCAUAACAGCUAAUUAGUACUCUGUUGUAAUACUUCUAUAUGCAUCCGUAGUGUGAAUGUUAUUUUUUAACUUAUUUCACAAUCAAUCAACAACCACCUAGGUCCUAAAGAAUUUUCAUACACGUCUUUUAAACCGUGACAGAGGAAGUAACAGUUUUUUAUUAUAUAUUCUAAUGAGUAGCUAGGAACACACAAGCCUAGGAUUUGGUCGGCGUUUAUGAAUAUAUUUAUGAACAGUGAUGGAGCCACGAUCUCGACACAACCAAGCGAAAACACGCAUCAACCAAGCGAAAGCACGCAUCAUAAACACGGCUAAUACAAGAUCAAUAUACAUGAUAUUGCUAAUAUCUAUAGCUCAGACGCCCAGACAGACGAUCCGGUCAUAAAAUUUCAAUCUAGACGGGUGUUUGAAACGAGCCUCAAACGUACGAACUGUCCGACACCCUUCAUAUCUAGCCCAAAUAUAAGAGGGAUAUGAGGCAGCCCGGAUGUGCUCGGGCAUGUCCGUCACGUCACCCCGGCCCACCCCGACCACAUUCCGUCCCCCACAAAUAUGCCCAAUCCAGAAACCCUAUCUCGGUUCCGUCUAUUCUUUUCCUCUGAUUUCUUCGAUUUCAUCCACUCCAACUACUUCGGUGACCAUGUCGAGCUCCGGCAGCUGCUCUGACUCCGACAUCGACAUCAGCGAGGAGCUGGUCUUCCGCACUGCCCUCGAGAGGUCCAAGGUGGACAUGGGGGUAGUUUCGAAUAUGCUGCCUCACCUCUCCCUCGCCGGCGCCGCGAGGACAUCGGUUGUGGCACCUCCCGGCCCACGCGCGGCUUCACGCCUCCCCACCCCGUCUCGUGCCCCCCGUCGCCCGCUGCUCCACGUGGGCAGCGGUGGGUGCUAGUUCUCGCACCGCCGGCCCGGACGGGCACUCCGAAAUCGAAGGCGCGCGCUACCUGCCAUAGGAGGCAGUGAGGAAGGAAGACAAAGGCGGCGAAGCUGUCCGUGCGCCGCCAACGCUGGUUGCCGGCAGAGCCCGACGAGGACGAGCGGCUCCUCUUGGGUCUACCAUCGGUCGCUUAAAACGACAGAGAUGGAUGCUCGGCGGCUACGUUGGAAGAACGCCUAGGCGCUCCGGCUUGCCAUUGAGCAGUCGGAGCGCGAGGCGGCGAAGGCAGCGGCCAGGGCGGCUCGGGUGGCGAAGCUCAAGCGGCAGCAGGACAAGGUCGUCCGACAGCUCAAAGGGUUGUCCAUCCUCUUCUCCUCCGACUCCUUCGACGACGAUUACCACAACGCCUCGUUCGACAACUCGGACGAUCCUCCACCAGUGGUUGACGCCUACAACAACGUCGUCAACCGAAAAGGGAAAAGGCCGGUGAGGAAGUGGUGAAGAUUCGUCUUCUUUACCUCAAUUCCAAGUUUUUAGAUAUAGUUUGAAGUUUUGAACUUGUCCAUCGUAUUAUGUGCAUUGUAUGAACUUUGGCUAUCUUUUGAAGAUCCAGCUGUGAUCUUUUGCUCAACGGAUUGUGCAUUUGUAUGUCCGCUCAUGAUCUACGUAGUAUGGAUAUAGCGGAUCGGAUAUGAGAUACGUGAAUGCGGACGAGGAAAUUUAAGAACUGACCAGAUCAGUGUUCGCGGAUACGCAGGGCUAGAUUUGCCAUGUCCGAUUGUAGAUGCUGUCAUGGAAAAAAGUUUUUGUAUAUUCUGUUCAGUAGCUAGGAACGGACAAGUUCAGGAUUUGAUCAGGGCUUGUGAAUAUGUUUAUGAGCAGUGAUGGAGCCAGGAUCGCGACACAACCAAGCGAAAGCACGCCUCAUAAACACGGUUAAUACAAGAUUAAUAUACAAAGUAUUGCUAGUGCAGUACACAUUCGUUCAACAACAGCCACAGUUACAAAUAUCUCCGAGGUAUAUAAGCUCAAUGACUAAAAAACUCUACUACAAAUAAAUAAGCUGAAUAUGAAAGGACAUGUAUUGUACUACUGCUACGGAACAUGCUAUUCAAUAACAAACUUGCACCCCUAACAAUCGGCCGGAAACAUCACGCGCACAAUGGAUGUGUAAAGAAGUAGCCGGCAACGUUGAGCACGGAUCUUGCGGCUGUGGAUCAGUCGCCGGCGACGGGGCCCUCGUGUUCAGUGAGCGCUUUAUGAGGCCUUCCGUAAUGGUAGUAUCUUGGCACAAUAUCAUAGGCAAAAUGCUGACGUGGCACUAUAUUUAUUGAGGAAAGAGGAGGUUGUUGUAUCUUAUUUAGGAUACGGCUCUUGCACGGUAUCAUAGCAAAAUAACUUGUUAGAUCAAUCACAUAUUAGUAUGAGGCCAAAAUCAUUAAAUACAUGCUUACUAAGAUACGACACUUAACAUACAAUACAUUAGGAUGGUUGUAUCUAACGAUCGUAUACUACCUAGGAUACCGCGCUAAGAGACAAUGCAUUACGGAAGGCCUGAUCACAAUCAGCAGAGAAUAAUAGAUGCUUCGACAUACUCUGUCUUAUACCGUAGGAAGGGAGGCUCAUGCAGCUGGCCGGGUACCCGGGUGCAAGGCUACUCAUUGGAGUGGAAGAGGUGAAACGCGGGACGACGAAAGCACGGGUGCCUGCACUGCUUUGGUGCCCACGCCCAUUGCGAAGAAAAAUGUACAAGGGCGCGGGUACCCGGCGAAAGCGAUGGGCGUAGUGAGAAGUAUUAGGCAUGUUUGGUUCCUUGGCUCGCACUUGCAUCGCACCCAUCAUGUAAUAUUCGCGACGUUUCGUAGGUUGCACGUCUCUCUUGGCCAGGCCCGGCUGAUGCAAAAUAGACCCCUGAGCCAGGCUGAGCUCGCACACAGGGAUCGGCCGUUUCAAUGAGCCUGUACCCGGGCGUGCAAAGUCUCUAGCUAGGUUUCCUCCCCAGUCUAUCGUCUCGUAUUUCCCUUGCUCUCCCCGAAGCUCUCUCCUCUGGUGCAACGCAAGUGGAUCCCGGCCGCAUCUUCGUCGCCCUUGUUGGCAUCUCGUCACCGGUGGCAAGGCAUCUGUCCUUCUCUAUCCCCCCCCCCCCCCAUUUGCGUCCCAAGCUAUGGCCCUCCUUCCUGUCUCCCAGCAUGGAUCUCGUCGUCGUCCUCGCCCCCGCCUCCCCGCGGAUCUGACCCUCAGAGCAAGUACGGGACUACGGCGGAACGUACACAGCGCACCCUCACUCGCAGCCACCCACUAGUUCUGGUUGUGAGAGUUGUCUGCCGCUUGAUCCAGUUGUGUGAGGAAGCAAGGGACCAGCUGCAAAUCCAGUUGCUACGGAACAUGCUAUCCAACAACAAACUUGCACCGCUAACAAUCGGCCGGAAACAUCACGCGCACAACUGAAGUGUAAAGAAGCAGCCUAGGCACCACCCAGCAACGUUCACCGCGGGAUCUUGCGGCUGUGGAUCAGUCGCCGGCGCCGGGGCCCCCGCGUUGAGUGAGCGCUUUAUGAUGACAAUCAGCAGAGAAUAGAGCAAACAUGCCGCGAGGAACCCGAUCACGCCACAAACGAGCCCGUUCGUUGUGACGUAGGCUGCCGAGGCCGGUACCGGAGGCGGGAGGAUCGCCGUGGCUGCAGUUGGGGGAUCGUGGGCAAAGGCUGGAGGUGCCAACAUGGGUGGUGGCCCGACGCGCGCUGAGAAGGUUGGAGGCUCGAGAAAUGGCAUGGUGGAGGCCGGCGGCAAAGCACGUCCGGCCUAGCGAAGGCGAUGGGCCUAGUGAGAAGUACGGCAAGGUUACUCAUUGGAGUGGAAGAGGUGAAACGCGUUUCCAUUAUGAAGUAGACUGACGAUGGCCUGCUGAGAAGAACGGCGAAGGCGAUGGGCCUAGUGAGAAAAGUACGACGACCUGAGCUCAAAAAUAAUAACUAAUUUAAAAUGAGCUCAGAAAAAGAAGUAUGGCGACCAAGACUGGGGGAAGGUGGUUUGCCAUUGGCUCUGUUUUUCUUUUCUGAGCCGCUGUUAUCAAAAGGGUCGUCCGUUUUAUACAGUAGGAAGGCAGCUGGCCGGGUACCCGGGUGCAAGGUUACUCAUUGGAGUGAAACAGACCGACGAAAGCACGGGUGCCCGCUCUGCUUUGGUGCCCACGCCCAUUGCGAAGAAAAAUGUACACGGGCGGGUACCCGGCCCCAGAUACUCUGCUUUCGACUUGUAUAUUAAAUUAUGAACUUAAACUUCAUUUCCGGUGGAUUAGGUGUAGAGCAGUACCCCUCCGUCCUAUAAAUAAGAGUAUCCUUGACAUGUUAGAAAUACUUUUAUGUUAAGGGACGAAGGAAGUACAAUAUUAUAUUAAAAAUAAUAGUAACAUGGACAAUUUCCCCAUCAUAUAUUAAUCAAAAGAAAGCAAUGUCGUCUUGAACAAACCAUGGCUCUGGGUAUUCCUUUUUGCAUGUAUCCAAAAAUAAAAUGAUAUAUAAAAUAAAAUAAAAUAGGGUAUGCUUGGAACACAUCACAUAGUUAUUGCACAUCUAAAUGACUCAAUCAAGCAUAAAAAGAAAAAGAAAAAUAAUAUGGGACGAAUAUAAGGGUGGCCCGGGUAGCCCGUCGGCUUGGCCCACCCCCACCUCUCAAAUAUCACCAUAUGACAAACCCUAGAUAUCGGUCAAUCCAAACUCCACUCCACUCCCAUCUUCGUCCACCCCACUUUCGAUCCCAUCCCCUUCGAUCCGAUGGUCGGUGACGGAAGCAGCAGUGGCUCCAGCGGAGAAUCCGAUGCCUCGAUCAUCGAUGUGGAAGAGCUCGUCCUUCGCGUCGCCAUUAGGAGGUCACUGCUCGACCAAGGCGGCCCCGGCACCGGCGGAUCUUCCCCAACGCCCGUCGCUUGUCGACGCAACACCCACGACGUCGCAAACCCUUCCCGCCCGGCACGCAACUCCGCUCCACUCCUUCAGGUACGCCGUCCACCUUCACCAUCCUCUGGUCCGGAACUGGUACCGUGGCACCGCUGGGUCCUCGUGCCUGCGUCGGGGCCGAAGCGCACGAGUACGUCCGAGUUUGAGGCACGUGCAGCCACGCGCGAGCGGCAGCGGGCGAGGGAGAGGGGGAGGCGAUGUCCGCACGCCAUUAGCGCAUGAGCGCCGGUGACGUCGCCAACCUUUCACGCACGACGCGCAGCUCCGCUCUGAUAGGUCCGCUUCGCUCCUUCAUGUACGACGUCCACCUCCACCACCCUCUGGGCCCUCGUGCCCGCGCCGCGACCGGGGUGCACGAGUACGCUCGAGUCCGAGGCACGUGCAGCCCGACACGAGCGGCAGCAGGAGAGGGAGAGGGGGAGGCAUUGUCCGCACGAGCGCGUCGGCCGACCCCCGAGGACGUGCUCCUCGCGCCGGUCCUCCACCGCUCUCUCACGACAGGGGAGACGAAUGUCUGGUGCCUCCGCCGCAAGAAUACCAAGGCGCUCCGACUCGCCAUCGAGUUAUUGGAGCACGAGGCAAACAGGGAGGUGGCGGCCAAGGCAAAGGCGUCCCGCCAUGCGAAGGAGCACGACCGCCUGCUCCACAGGCUGUCGGGUAUGAGGUGCAGCUCCGACUCCGACCUGACGGGCGGCUCCACCUCCAGCUUCGAUGACGACGGAUGCUCCGCGCGCCGGCGUCCACACGGAAGAGAGGCACAACCACGCCAACAUUUGGAACGGGAAGGGGCCGGCGAGGAAAUGGUGAUUUCCUUCGCCCUUCCCUGUUCUGUUUAUAUUCUAACUAUGUUUUAAGUUGUUUGUAGUAUGGAUUUGCCUUUUAACUAUGCUCUUUUUUCCGGUGAUGUAAUGUUGAUCCGAUGAACUGUGUGUUAAUCUUGUUUUAUGUAGUGUUGCAUGAGUUGUAUGGUUUUAAGGGUUCAUAUAUGAGGGAUGCGGAUGUGAAAGCUAUAAAUAAAACGUAACUGAUUAGUGUCCGCGAACGUAUGAGGGCCAGAAUUCGCUAUGUUCGGUUGUACAUGCCCUAAACAAACCGAUAAACAAUUACAAUUGUCUAGUUUAUGANGGGAACCAGCUGCCUCCCGCGCGAGGUGGGAAGUGGAGUACGGGUUGGGGGCAGUUUUCUCUCCCAACCCUUACUUCUACAGGCUGGGAAAGGGUUUGAGGGUUGGACCUCUAAAUUUUUUACGGGUUUAAGGGUUUAAGGGUUUUAGUCUACGCCGUUUUUUCGAUGAAAACUGUAAAAAAACGGUUAUUUUUUAAGGGUUUGAGGGCUCUACUAGAAAUGCUCUAACGUCUUCCGCUCGCACAUUAGCAGGAACAUCACAAAACUCAGACGACUUGUAUCCUCUCCUACAUGAGACGAUCUCUGGUAGACCAUGAUUGUUACACCAACAUUGUAGGUCACUACCUCGGUGUACCUGGCAAAGCCGGGCCCGUAGGUCGCGUCGACCGAGCCUAAUAACUCGCGACAGCAUUAGAUUGCCACCCCUGCAAUCCAUAGCCGCAAGCCUAUCACAUAGAGCCGUGGCUAUGUCGCAUCUCAGACGGCCCAUCCAUGCUCAUCCGCCGUUACGGCUAUGAAUGACGACUUAUGCUCUAAAAUUUUAGCAUAGCACAAAAUUAGUUUGACUACUCACUCUUAAUUUAUUUGUCUUGAUGUUACUUACCCACUACAGCCGUGUCGAUCGACUACACCUUUUAUUUAGGCCACCUGCGACUGAUACCAACUCUCAAAUACUCCCAUGAUACCAUGUAAAAAAAAUUUAGAAUAUUCCAAAAAAAGUUGAAAGAAAUGUGAAUGUCAACAAGGAAUGUUCCUACAACCCCUACAAAUUUUAGGUCCAAAUUCGAAAUUCACAUGAGAAACAAAAAAAGACAAAUCCGUACAUGAAUAAUGGCAUCUUGACUUUUUGUCUUUUUGUGACACUAUACACGAUGGAUUUGUUUCUUUCUUCCCAAUAUGUUUUUGAAAUUUUGAUUUGACUUUUCUUUGGAUUGUACACUCGUGUGAUGUGAACAUCCAGAUUUUUUAGCGAUGGUAUCACCCAAAGGUUGGGAGCACAUGAUAUUCUCUCUAGGCGAUCCAACUUUGCAUCAAGAUCCAUGCAAUAUUUAUCUUUUUUUUGUUUCUUUCAAAUGAGAGAACGCUUGACUUGCAGGUCAACGCCACGCGGGCACACUGUUUGAAUAAAAUGUUUUUGAUUUUUCUUUAUGCAACAGAGAUUUGUCAAAUUAAAAAAUUCGAAUGAUUUUUAUCAUCUUAUAUAUUUCUAUAUGAAUUUUUAAUUUUGCUAACCUCAUGUACCAUGGGGUAUCAUCUUAUAUAUUUCUAUAUGAAUUUUUAAUUUUGCUAACCUCAUGUACCAUGGGGUAUCAUCUUAUAUAUUUCUGUCGCGUUACAAAUCCGCAACCAUGUUGUUUAAGUGAUAGCAAGUACAGUACAUUGCUUUAACGAAGAGGACGACUGUUGCUCUGAAUUUUGUUUCAGAAAUGCAUAAAGCGGGUCCGUUGUGUUUUCAGAAGUUUGAACAAGGGGAACAACGAGUAAAGCGAUACGGCGACACACCCGCUCUGUAUUCACUGUCCUCACUGAAACACAAAAGAAUAGCAGGAUUUACAAGGCGAGACGAGCAAUCAAUCCUCUUUGAGGCAGCUCAGUCUCAACCACACUACAUCUAACCUCAGCUAAACUACCUCUCAUCUGAACUACACCAGCUCUAAUUAUUCCGUGAUGCAAUCGGCGGAAUAGGCAUCGAUGAAGAGUUGCCGGGCAGCUGCUGCUGCUGCUUGGGUUUGCAUGGGCAGUGCUUAGGGUAAUGAUUGUUGAGGGAGCUGGUGGAUUGAUCUUUUAACUUCAACAUCGUGUUGCAGUGGUUGCACGCUCCGUACAUAACGUAAGGGUUUUUGGUGUAUAUCUUGGUGAAGUUGUGCCAAUGUUUUGAUUCUGGUCUCGGUCGCUUUGAGGAAUCAGUGGAGGGCAGAUCCGGAACAUCUAAUGAUGAAAGAAGGAUGUAAUGUUAAUGAUUAAUUGCUUGUUAGGAAGAAAUUGAUUCAUCUAAGUAAGAGCUUGUUGUUUGUCUGCAGCAAACUAGAGUUAAACUUACCCACGCCGUACUCAUCCACGUCCAUAGGUGAACGCUCUGUCGCAUCAUCUCUGGAAGCCACUUGGUCCUGUUCGUCCCACGGGAGAAUGAAAGGGUCAGCUGCACGUGCUCCUGUAAAUUUGCAAGAUGGAAUUAUAACGGUAAUAUAUAAAUGAUUUGCGCGAGAAAGAGGAUAGGAAGCUCAUUUACUUUUUCCCUUGGGUUUGAUUUCCAGCGGGUAGGUGUGGCAUAAAGACAGUUCUUCCUACAAACAGUAAAAAAGAAGAGGAGUGGGUUGGUAAACAUAUAUAACUUGAAAAGAAGAACAUGAAAUUCCAAGAUAAACAUGCUCCUUACAUCCAGAUACAAUCCACGGCGAUCUUUCAUAGUCAUAAGAAGGUUGUACCGCGUCAUGCCAACAACCGGCUUGGUGCCAUCCGUGGGUUUCAACUCCAUCGUCAUCUUGGUCCCCACGAAUUUAGGGGAGUUGCUGGAAUUACCUUGGGAGGUGUUAGGGAUGGAGACCAAUUUUGUAGGCGACCAAGUCCCCUGAUCCGUCUUCCAGCCUUCCAUGUGCUUGAUUAAGCACCAGAGCUCCAGUCGCUCGAUCAUUAGUCUGAGCUCGAGGCCGUCGGGGAAGGUAGCUGCUUCUGAGAACAGAUAUCAGCUGCUGGUCGCUACAUCUGGGAAGGUCUCGAGUCUGACUCUCAGGGAGGUAGUAGAUCUCAGCGAUGCCUGCCAUCGAAGCGUUGGGGAUUCGAUUCGGGACCUCUCGAAGGAGCUCUUGUGCUACGGGGAGCUAGGAUUGGGGAAGAGGAAGGCGGGGAGGCGUGGUUGACUGUGGAGAUUGAUGAUGCAGCAAUGUUUUGCUAUCGGGAUUGGGGAGGUGUGCUGCGAAUGGAGCGGCC
rnacentral:lncRNA from 1 species